UGGGAUAGCCCUCGAUCAAGGCAUCCCUGAUAACUGAGUAUGAGAAUGAUUUUUGGCACGAGCCAAGCUUUUCAGGAAAUCAUAAGCCUAGUUGUUUAUUUGGUUGAAAUGAGUUGUAAGGUAAUGAAAUUACAAUAUGAUGACUUAUUUCAAUUGUCUCCAUUUACUCGACUUUAGAUGGUUUAGAUGGUAUUUGUUUACUCACUGGGAUUUUAUAAUCUCACCACCCUCAAUUCCCCACAUUUUAGGCUUGGGAUAGCUGGUAGAUAGCCGAUUGCAUCAAGGACUUUAGUUAGCCUUGCAUCGACAAAAUUGUAGGUUCACAGACUCGCACCUUAUUAGUUAGUUGGGAGCCCACGUGUCACUGUAAAAGAAAUUUUAUACUUCAAUUAUCUGAUUUAAAGUACGUAUGAAUAUACUUAGCUUUUACACUACAGAAAUUAUUUAUGGAUUUCUCUAUAAAUAUUAUUUUUUUUAGAAAAUAGAAUAUUUUAUUGAAUAUUAUUAUUUUAUUCAAACAAUUAUAAUUUCGUUCCAAAUAAUUAUUUUAGACAUCUAAAUUUACUUUUAAUUAUGAAACAUGUGUUUUUCACCCACACACCAUGUUUUUGGCGGGUUUCGGUAGUUUCGAAGAAAAAUAACGAAAUUGCCCCAAUGAGCCAGAAAAUAAUAUUAUAUUGUUUUGAUUUGGAAACGACUUGUGAUUUCUUGAAAUGCGAGAUUUAAUAACUGUCGUUCACCGGGAAGAUGCGGAAGCUAAUGCUAAGCCUUGUGGGGUUUCGAUCGGCAUUUCGAGUAAUGAGUGUCUAUCGGGACGUCGCGGCGGUUGUCAUGGGCCCGAUGGGAGUUUCGGGUCGUGACAGAUGAGACCUAAAUAACAAGAUAAAAGCAACAACAAAAAUCCCUCAUUAAACUAUUAAGUCAUAUGCUUCGCAUGAUUAAGUUGCCUUCCACCAUAUAACAAGAUAACCAAGCUACCCUUUUAAUUGAAGACUUGUUAAGCCACUCAAGGUCAAACAACAAAUGAUGGGUAAGUGUUUUAACUUUGAGAUCAUAAGUGGAAAGGAAAAAUAAAAAUGUGUAUUGAUUAUUUGUACUUGUUGCAACAAGGGUGACCGAGGAUGUGAGGAGUUCGUGAGUUGCAUGUGGAAUUUAAGGUAAAAAUCGGAAGGUAAAUAUGUAAUGUGGGCAUACUAUGUUAUAUUGGAGUUAAUUAGUUGAAAGUAUAUAGAUUUCAUGUUAAAUUAUUGUGAAUAAUAAGGGUGAAAAAUGUGAAAUUAGAUUAAAGAUUGAUUGAUUAAUGUGCUGCCUAUAUAUGUGUACAAUUGAAUAUAAAUACGAAAGUAGACAUAAUGAAAGAGGUAGAUUAUUUGUGAGGGAUUCUUGAAAAUAAAGAGAACUAAGAACAUGGUAUAUAGAACAGCAAAUAUGAGCUGAAUUGUGGUGAUGUUCACUAAGUAUAUUAAGUUUAAUUUGCUACUAGAAAGUGUAUAAGUGAGGAAGGAUUACCGUGGUGGUGUACCGAAAGAGGUAACGGGUGAUCGGCAAGUAGAAUUAGUUGAAGGCACACCCAAAUCAAUGGCGACAUAGUGACCCGCCAUUGUGAGGAGAGUAAGGGGUGUCUAUUUCAAAAGUUUCAUAAACUAUAUAAUGAUAUACGUAUAAUAAACAUUGUCGAUUUUCUUUAAAUACAAUUGUGAAUAGCAUGAGUUGUUAGCUUCGGUAGGUGAUUUUUAAAUGGAUUUGCAAUCGGAUUGCACUGUUUUUGUGGAAAGCAUGAGUUGGUAGAAUGCUAGGCACUUGUGAAUGCCAUGUUUUUAGAAACGUUUUGUAUAUAUAUAAGUUAUAUAUGUAAAGGGUUUUAAAACCCGUGAAACAAACUCUUUACCAUGAUUUAUGUCAAAACGUGCCUUACUUGUUUUUCUGAUGUGCAUUCAUGAAUAAGCUUUAUGUUCACCAUGCUUGGAUUUAAUAUUUCAACCUCAUGCAAAGGUUUUACAUAAUGAAUUCUUACAAAUGGAUUUAUAAUGUCACCGUGAUUGGUAUUUUGGAAAUAGAUUUAAAAUAAGCUUUUGAAAACCUAAUUUGGUUAUAAAUGGUUUUGUCAAACUAGGAGAUUUGAGAGUAGGCCGAAUGUCACAUUGGGAUAGUAUGACCCUUGUGUAUAAGUGAGCUCUAGCUAGAGAACCUUUGAAUCACCGACAGGCUAUUAGAUGUGGCUAGGCCACAGUCUAUGAUAUAUAUACGUGGCAAGGCCACAGGUUGAUAUAUGUGGUUACGACUACAUGAUUUCUUCGAUGUCGGCCAACAUCAUCGAGACUGCCAUGAUUGUGGGAAUCUGGUGGAGGAUGGCAUCUCGGAUGUUAUUAUGUGGAAGUGGGUCUACGGGUUGAUAAUUACGAUUACCUACUCGAGAGUGAUAUCUCUUUGCGUUUUCAAACACGAAUUCUUUUGCAUGGUGAGAAAUGCAGGUUUUUUCAUAGCUCCUUUAUUGAUAAGAUGAUUUUGCGUUUAAUACCUCAAGGAUAGAUUGUUUAUAAGCUUGUGUAUAAGCAUUGAUAAUGCUUGAUUUUACGGGAGUGUACGUGCUUAUGUUAGUUUGAUUUUAAGUAAAGGACAUUAAAUGAUUUCAACGGUAGAAAUCUUUUACUUGCACUGGUUUUAAUACAUUACUUGAAAUGGUUAUUUUGCAUCACAAUUCUUAGGUUUAGAUGUAAGGCACAAAUGUUCCAUUUGAGUUUAAAUUGUUAUAUAUAUAUAUAUAUAUAUAUAUAUAUAUUCUUAUGUUUUUAAUAUUCAAAUUUUCUAUCCCUGGCUUGUUUCCCAUCUAUCGAGGAUCACUAAGUCUGUGAGACUCACCCCCUUUAUCUUCCUCUUUUUGUAGAUAAGUGAUUAGCUCGUGUGUAUUGCCUCAACACUGUAGAUACCUAUUCUCCAAAUAAAAAUAUAUAUAAUAAAAAAUUAAUCAAAAUAAAUAAAUAAAAUAAUUAAAUAAUAUAAUAAAAUUAAAAAAAAAGAAAGCAAGGAAAGGACUGAGCGUGUGCGCAACCCCAUUCUCUAGUUCAUCAUUGCAGGGCAUUAAUGCCCUUGAAAAGUAGCCAAAUUUAGGGGAAUGAUGGACACCUUCGGCUGCCAACCCCCCAUUGUGCUAGAGCCUUGUGAAAUCAUGCUUAGAAAAGCAUGAUUUCACCUCUAAAUUGUACAAAAAUUUGGACAAUCUAACUCUUAAAAAAAGGGGGGCAAAACAACAACAGGGAGGGGAGAUUUUGAAAGUUAGAUCAAAAAAAAAAAAACCAAUCUUGCAAAAACAAAAAAAACUAGAUAUAUCAACAGUAAAAAAAAAAAAUCUCAUUUUUCUUCAAACAAGCGAGACCUACAAAUUAAAAAUCCCUAACUUUCUAGCAACCAUUCUACCAUUGACACAACCAAAAAAAAAAAUCAAAUAAAAAAAACUAUCAUAAAAAUCAAAAUAUAUAUGCAAAAAAUGGAAGAAGUAAGAGGUGUUUUGUAGAGUUUGUUGGUUUAGGUUUUAGGUGGGAUUUUGAUUUUUAGAGAGAUUUUGGCUUUGCGUAACCUGCGGUGAAGGAGAUGAGGCCUGAUUUGGUCAUCGAAAAGGGAGAGCUUUUGGGCUAGGGGAGAUCUGACUGGCAGUGAAAGAAGGGAGUAAGAGAGAAGACGUCAGCGGAGAGAAAGAGGGAAGGAAAGAGAGAGAAGAAGAAAGAGAGAGAGAGGGAGAGAAGUGACUCCGACGAGGGAGGAAAAAGAGAAAGAAAACAGACUUCGAUGGGAAAGGAACGACGUCGGGAACAAGAAAGAGAGAAAGGAGAGCUACGUGCCCAGAAAGAGAAAGAAAAAAAAAAGAAGAAGAAGAAGAAGAAAAAAAAAUAGAGAGAAGGGAGAACAUUUGGGUUAGAGAGAGAAAAUGGUAAGGAAAGAAUAAAAAAAAAAGGAAUGCUUUUAUACCCCAAGCACAGAGGCGUGCUAAACGGCGCCAUUUUGGGUACAGCUUGAAGUGGCCAUUCAAGCACCAAAAUGAUGAGUUUUGAAAGCAGCAGUGUGGGCCUCAAGAGACAGAUCUAGUGCUGUAGGCUUGAGCCUUCCAUGGGCUAAUCUUAGCCCAGAAAGGCAUAACCUUUACCUUUUUGCUUGUGGGCCUAUUUUAAUUGAUUUUGUAUCUAGCCCAUUUUGCCUAAUUAAAAUGUAAUUUUGGUUUAAUUUUAGACCAUUCUAGGAAAAUAGGUUAGGUAAAUUAGCAAAAAUAGAAAAUGUAUUUAUGAUCAAUAUUUAUAAUUAGGAAAGUUUCAAGGUUUAGUCUAAAAAGUCAAUAAAUAAAUAAAUGAAAAUAAAAUAAAAUAAAAUAAAAAGUAUAAGACCUAGCAUGAAAUUAUUAAGUAUAAAAAUAUGAUGUUUAAUUUGGAAUCAAUACUGAUGAUAGGAUGUUCGUUCAGAACGCGAGAAGUCACAAUUUUAAAUAAGUUUUCUUAGAUUAAGGAUUUUGAUUAAGACCCCACCAGUAUGUUGGGAGGGUCUUGAUUUUGAAUUCCGAUGAUUCUAAUUUUAAAUACAAGUUAUAUACUCAAUUACUAAUUGGUCAAAAAUGCAAAAAAAUAAGGAAGUAAUGAUAACAAUAAGUAUGUUAACAAUAAUAAUAAUACAAAAAGGAAUGGAUAAGAGACAUAUAUAAAUAAUAAUUAUGAAAUAAAAAAAUGAAAUAAAUAAAAUAAAAAUACUUGGUCUAAAAAUAUAAUUUCAAAAAAUUUCAUAUAAUGAAAUGAAUAAAUAUUUACAUAGCAAAGUACAUAACGAAAUAAAAAUGGAACAAUAAGUAGAUAUAAAACAUUUAUUCAUGGUAUAUAUGCUCACACGGAGAAAUAAUGGAAAUAAGGAACAAAUAUUAGAAUUAUGAGUGCAUCACGUGCUUUUGUUACAUUAUUAAAUGUCAUGGCAUAUAGACAUAUUCUAUAUUCGAGCAUAAGCUCGAUGAUGGGAUUUUUCGAGGAAGUUUGCGAAUGUGAGUUUUUUCGAUAAACUCCCUAUGUGAAAAGAUACCCUCAGACCCCACCAGUAUGGUGGGAGGGUUAGGAGAAAUAUCUUUAACAAAAGGCUUUUGCCCAUAUUAGGAUUUGUAUUCAUGAAAAUAUUGUUUUUACUCUCAAACGACUACUCUGAUAAUGGGAUAUACCUAGUAAACUUGUGAAGGCAAGUUUCUCAAGUAUUUCCCUAGGUGAGAGAAUACUCUCAGAUCCCACCAGUAUGAUGGGCGUAUUCAAAAAAUGCACUCAAUAAAAGGUUUUUGUUUGGCAUUAUCUCGAUUUUAUGCCAUGCAUUUCACAAUUGCAUCAUAAGCAUGUUAAACCCCAUAAAAAUGAAAUAAAUAAAUAAUAAUUAAGAAAACAUAAGAAUAAAAUCAAUGGGUUAGGAUAACAUAUGAUUAAAUGGUACCGUUCAUGGAACGGGCGUCAUAGGAGUGUUAAUCUUCCCCUGUACGUAACCGCACUCCCGAACCCAACUUUAAAAAAUACGCAGACUAAUUUAUCGUUCUUUUUAUGGACCUAAAAUCAAUUUAAGAUUUCGUCGAAUAGAACAAAUUUAACAGGUUGCCAAUUGCACCUAGGUAAAAAAAGAUUGGUGGUGACUCCCCAAGUUAACCACAUCUAGUGGAUGGGUUCUUGGACCUGGCACAUUUCAACAAGCAUAUUUUGACUUGUUGCAAUGUAGGUCAUGGCAUCUCUUAGAGUUCCACUCCGAGUCGCUCCGCUGCAUAGAGGUUAUGUUGUGUAGAUCAGAAUUAUAAAAAUUAUUAGUUUAUCGAAAUUGUAUCGCUAAGAAACUUUGAGGUUGUGUAAUGGAUUCUAAGUGUGAUAUUUGAAUGUAUCUUGAAGCUUGUUAGAAUUGGAUAUUGUUAUCUAAUUACCGAAUUUUAAUUAAAGCUUCUUAUUUGGUUUAAGUAUACGAUCAUAUUUUAUAUAAUUUGGUAGAAUUUUAAUAGUCACCACAGGGUGAAACAUUAUAAGGAAAUCUAGUCUUUUAAUAUACAUAUUAAAAUGUUUGACUUAGUUAACAAGAAUCUCAACUAAGACUUGUUCAGGAUUUGGGUGGGUUCUCUAGCAAGUCUCGGACACCGGUAAUGAUCGGGAAGAGGGUCGUUGUAGAAAUUAUAAAGGUUUUGAUUAUGAGAUUCUUAUACGUCAAAGCCUUGUUCCUAAAUAUGUUCCUGGUCAUUGUAUUGUCAAGAAUAAGGACAUUGAUAAUGUUAAAAGGUUGGUACAUGCUUAGCCUCUUUACUUUGGAAGUAAGCAAUUUUAGUACUUAACUAAAAUUUUUUAAAACAAGUAUUAAGUUAACUAAUAGAAAUUAAAAUUAGUGGGAAAGGCAAUAAACUAAAACCUAAGAUUAUGGGUUCAUUCAACACUUCAUCUAAUGCCAGCUUCUUUUAUUAUUUACAAUCAUGGGUAGUUCUACUAACCUAGAAUCCAAAGCUAUGUACAAGUUACUGUCGAGAUGCUUGCACAAAUACCUAACUUAAUUGGGUCACUAUAUGUCUAUAGGAAUCAAUUAAAUAUGGUUCAUUAAGCUAGUGUUCUAAUGUGGCUAUGUGUGGCAAUUGGCGUAUGUCUACCCGAAUUGCGAAUCAGAUUAUCUAAGUGAAGUGAAUAUACAUUAUUCAAACCUUAGUUCAAUCUAAAAUCUCUCUGUUGAGUUUCGAUUAGAUUCACAAAUCAAUUAAUUGUUAGCCAAGCAAUCAAAAGCAUUAAGAACAGAUUUAAAUAGGCAAAACUAUACCCAUUCAUAGUAAAUAAAAGAGAAACAAAUAUUCAAAUUACAUGUUGAAACCCACCACAAUCCUAGAAAGAUAAUGUAGCUCAUAAUAACUAAUAAAAACAACAUCUAAAGAAAUUUAGCCAUGAAUCCAAGUCAAAUAAAAUAAAAGAAACACCAAAGUAGAGAAAGAAACUAAUUAUUGAAGUUUUAUCAUCUUAAUUCUCUCUCAAAUUCUCUUAUUUUCUUGCUUUGUUCUUGGCUCUUUUUCUCUAGAGUAGUUGCUUGCUACCUUCGCCUUAAAAACUCUAAAAAAAGUUCCUUAAAUAGGCUCUAAGUAACCUAAUUUCCAAAAUUUCAUCAAAUUUUUAUUUUUGGAAAAUCAUUCGGUGCCACGACCAUGAUUCUUUUGGCUCGCGACGUUGAAUUUUUGCUACAAUAACGUUGUGGCCAUGAUUUCUUAGCGCUGUGGCACUCUAGCUUAAAAAAAAAUGUACGAUGCACUUCCUUUCACCAACUCUGCAACCUUUUUUUCUUCAACGUUACGACCUUGGCUUCCUAUGUGCUGCAACCUUGAGUAACUCAAGGCCACACCCUUCCUCCACCUAUUGCCUUGUGCAGAACUGCAGCAGUUGAGCAUCAUCCAAUAUUAUUUUCACCUCGAUAUGAUCGAAACUGGUUAAAAUGGUAAACAUGAAAGUUUUAGCAUUGUCUCUUAAAUUUCUAAUGAAUAAAAAAUCACAUCAAUUGAGCUUCUAGAUUAAGAGAUAUGCUCCACAAACCUUAUCAUGUUCAGUCCAUGCAUACUACUGCAGUGCUUCGAAUUAGACAAACAUUUUGACCAUGAUCCUAUCUAAACUAGGUGACGUAGUAAACAUAAAAGUUGUAGCCCCUCCUCUGAUAAUUCUAUCGGUCCAAGAAUCACAUCAUUUGAAUUUUGUAUAGAGACAUAUAGUCAAAAUACGAAAACAUAUACAAAUAAAGCCAUCGCCAUACUUGCAUGAAUUUUCAUCAAAUGAGCCUUUUUCAUCAAAUUUCCUACAAAAGCAAUAAGAGAAAUCAGCAAUAACUACUUUUAAAGUAAUUUAAAACAAAAUAACAUAAAAUUAAACUAAAAUAAUUUAAAUUAACUACUUAAUAUAUAAUCAAACUUAAAGUAGAAAAACGCAUAAAAUGCUAAAAUUCGAACCUAAAAUCUCAGAGAUCUAGCUGCUUAGGCCUUGAAAAUAUGUCAAAAUAACUCUAUAUAUGUCACGACCGGGAACUCCCAUCGGGCCCAUGACAACCGCCGCGACGUCCCGAUAGGCACUAAUUAUCCGGAAUGCCGAUCGAAACCCCACAAGGCUUAGCAUCAGCUUCUGCAUCUCCCCGAUGAGCGACAGUUAUUAAAUCUCGCAUUUCAAGAAAUCAUAAGUCGUUUCCAAAUCAAGACAAUAUAAUAUUAUUUUCUGGCUCACAGGGGCAUUUUCAUGCAUACUUAAUUUUUGUAGAGAAAUUAAUUUCUGUAAUGUAAAAGCUAAAUAUAUUCAUACGUACUUUAAAGCAGAUAAUUGAAGUAUAAAAUUACUUUUACAGUGACACGUGAGCCCCCAACUAACCAAUAAGGUGCGAGUCUGUGAACCUACAAUUUUGUCGAUGUAAGGCUAACUGAAGUCCUUGAUGCAAUCGGCUAUCUAUCGACUAUCCCGAGCCUGAAAUGUGGGGAAUUGAAGGUGGUGAGAUUAUAAAAUCUCAAUGAGUAAACAGAUACCAUCUAAACAAUCUAAAGUCGAGUAAAUGGAGACAAGCAAGAUAUUCCAUUCCAAUAUGUUUUUCAUAACAUCAAUAAUCAAUUUACUCAAAUAAUCAACUUGGCUUAUGUAUUUCACAAAACUUGGCUCCUGCCAAAAUCACUCCCAAGGAUGCCUUGACCUAGGUAUCUGAUCGAGACUACCAAGGCUGUUCAGUGUAGUACACACGUGAACAUAUUUUUACAUUUGAAAAUCUAGCCAUGCCUUGGCGUUGGCUGAGUCUUACUCUCACGCGGUGGUCCACGUGAAGUGCACUCAAAUCUUUACCUCCAAAGUCACCCUCCACACGGCUCUCAAAUCGAGGUAAGGUAUAUUUGAUUCUGUGCCCCCUCUCUUAGGCUGGUCCAUAGAACCUCCACUACAGGGAUUAUAGAUUAUUUUAUCUACCACCUAGUUUAUAAAAUCUUUUUCUGCAUGACAUGACAAUUUAUCGCAACCUAGCCUCUCAAGGCUGAAUACUUGGUACAAACAAUUCUAACACCAAAAAUCAGUUUAGCCAUUCAUGCUCAUAUAUUGUCAUAAGCCAUUCAAUUUAAACACAAUUUAUAUCCCAACAAAUAAACAAUCUCCAAUUACUAUAUUUUUCCAAAAUCAUCAUUUAGUUUCUAAAAAUUUAUAAAAUCAUUUUAUAAAAUCACAUUUAUUCAAAAAGCAUAAAAAUUUACCAUUUAAACCCAUUUUACCAUAAAAUCUCCAAAUUUAAUAAAAACUACUCCAGAUAAUUAAGAUGAUAGUAAGUUUACUCACAGUUCUAGGAGUCAAUGUACUCCUAAUCCCAGUCUUCAAGCACAAUCUCUGUACUUUUACUACUGUAAUUUGCUCACCACCUAUCCACAAUGUACAAUACAUAAUUCACCACAUUAACACUUGACCAUUAUAAAAUCAAUUCAGGCUCGGUGUAUAUGCAUGAUAUGAUAUGCAACUUAUCCGACUACCGCUUAAAUACGGUGCUGACCUAAUUCGGCCUAUUACCCGAUUAAAUGACAAUUGUGUCCGAUUUGACUCCAAAUUGCUCCAUUUCAUUUCUAAUAUUUCAAUUCACUAAAUACAAUUCCAAUAAUCUAAAAUUCAGCCUAACAACCCUCACAAUUCUUCUUGAAAAUUUUGGCCAUUGUGGUGCACUAUCACUAAAAAUUUUCCCAUUCCAUUUUCUCACCGUAAAUCAUCAUUUCAUCAAUUUUUCAACCAAUUCACUUGAUCACAAAAUCAAUUCAUUACUUCUACACUUCACAUAGGGUUCAGCCAUUGAAGGUUCAUGGGGAAAAUUGAUUCUUUUCUUGUUGUUUUGUUUCUAAACAUGCUUAACUAACUCCAAACACCAACAUAAUUCAAAAUCAAACAAUUCCAACAUCAUUUCUCUCACCAAACCCAUUCAGCCAGCCAUGAUUUCCCCAUGAAAACAUACAAUCCAGCCAUGGAAAUUAAGGAGAAAUGCAUGGGUAAGGUAAAUCACUAGCAAAAUCAAAGAAAUUUUACCUUUGCUUGAUCAAAUCCUUGAAUUCCAACACUUUCUUUUUGAUUUUCCCCACCUAGGGUUUGUUCUUCCUUGGUUUCCUUUCUCUUCUGGUUUGGCCGACCACUAUGGGAGAAAUGGGCUGGUUUUUAUGCCUUUUUAUAAAGAAACAAUAAAAUAAUAAAAGCAUGACACAUGGCAUUUCCUUAUUGGUUCAAAUUUUAAAUAUUUGACUUUUAAUUCUUUAAUUCUCCACCACACAUUUCUCAUGUUUAUCCAUUUCCAUGAUGAAUAAAAUCCCUUGGUCUUGACAAGUGUCGGGGGUGAAAAUUUAUCGAUUUACCCCCGAGGUAGUAAAAUUAUCGUUUUUACCCCUAUACUCCAAAAACACCAAGAAUUAAAAGUUUUUUCACUGCUAAACCUCAUAUUAUACUUCAUAUGAUCAAUCUUAGUCAAAAAUUUCAUCAAAUACACAAAUUAAAUUUUUAGGUGGUAAAAUGACCAUUUGCCCCUAAUUGAUCAAUUUUCCCGAUUGACUCCAAAUCGGUCUUCGAACUCCGAAUCACCAUUUUAGGUCAUCCCUGGACUGUGAAAUUCUCAAUUUCACCUUAAAAUCUAUAUUUUAAUUAGUUCGAGGUAUAAAUCAACUUACUUGUACUUCUAAGCAUAAUACCGACUUUUAAAUAUUCUUUCGGGGCUGUUCAAAUAUACAAUCACUCUAUCAGUCUCAUGUGUAACAUGGUAGAUAAUUUAGGGCUGGGCUUGACAAUAUAAUAGAGUUAUCAAUAGCUAAUGAUUUAAAGCAUUAAGAACAACUUGGAAUAAACAAAACAAUACCACUCAAAAUAAACAAGAAAGAGAUUAAAAAUUUAGACUAUAUGUUAGUUCAAUUGCAAUUCUAGAUAAAAGGAAUUUAGAUAGUCAUAAUUGAAAUAAAAAUCAUUCAAAGUUUAACCAUAAAAAAUUACAAGAAUAAUAAAAAUAAUAGGGAAGAAGAAAACAAAGAUUGUUAGUCCUAAUCUUCAAUUUUGCACUUUGGAAGCUUGGCUUCUUGAAUUUCUGGUGGCUAAUUUCUCUAAAACCUAAAAACUCUUUUUUAAAGCUAGCAUAAUUAACUACUUAUAGAGGCUUAGAAUAGGUGUUAAAACCCUAUUAAGACUUUCUUAACUUUCAAACCAUGCACCAGCUUGCAACCUUUAACAUUUACGCUGAAAAUUCAAAGUUGGGCUUCAGAUGCCGUGGUACAGACCUUCAAUGUUGUGACGCGGGCUUGGCUUCAAGUCUUCAUGAAACUUUUACUACACUCCAUCAACUUCGAAUGCAAUAUUUUCCAACUUCAAGGCAGAAUUGGGAAAAAUAAUCUGCAUGAAAGUUGUAGCUCUAUCUCUUAGUUUUUCAAUGACUUAAGAAUCACUUCAUUUGGACAUCUAAAGUUGAUGUUAUACUCCAAAUACUACAACAUGUACUAACACAGCUUUGGUCCUUUAAACACCUUUUUAACCAAUUUGAAGCCUUAUUCCUUUGAAUCCCACAAAAGCAUAAAAACUAAUAAGUAAUAAGUAAACUAAAGCAAAUAAACAUAAAAGUAGCGUAUAAUAAAAUAACUCACUAAAAAUAAACUAAUUACAAAAGUCACUAAAAAUAACUAAAUUCUAACCUAUACUCAAGAACUUAGUUAGCUUUUAAGAACAAAAUGAGUCAAAAUAAUUCUAUAAAAUAGAAUUAUCAUGUUUAUCCCGUGUUUCAUAUUUCAGUAGUACGAAAGUAUCAACCAGAUCCAUCUCACAUGAUCCAGCAUGAGUCCCUACAAUUGGGAGAUGGUUUGAGUUAUGAAGAGGUACUGAUAGCUAUCCUAGAUAGGUAAGUGAAGAAACUACGCACGAAGGAGGUAGUCUUAGUUAAGGUGCAAUGGCAUAAUUACUCGAGUGAGGAGUUGACUUGGGAGGUCGAGGAUAACAUAUGAGCGAAGUAAUUACACUUAUUCAACGAAGGUUAGUAUGUUAUUUAAAUUCGAGGACGAGUUUUCAUAAGGGGGAAGAAUAUGAAAUCCCACCUUAAGUAAGAGGAAAAGUUAGAAAAUGUUUAUGUGAGUAUGUAGAUUUCAUGUUUUGAACAUCAAACUUAGUUUUAACCUUCAAAAAGAAUUCAUUGUCACCUUGGUUGGUUGUCAUUGUUGAAGCAAAAAUUCUCUUAAGUUUGAAAGGGGUUAAAAUAUGUGAUUUUUAUAAAACGAUCUUUUGGAAAUAAAAAAAGAAGAUAGCAAUGGUUCCCUUGAAUUUUAGAUAACUAAAAAUGAUUUUUUCAUAAUUUUUAGAGUAUGUUUGCUAUGGUAAAUGAGAGCCAUAAAUUUAAUUUUACUCUAACUUUUUCGAUUUUGUUCUUAAAACCAAAAUUUAGAUUUUGAUUGAUAUGGGUGAAUGAAGAGCUCAACCAAAGUCAAGCUAGUGACUAUAAAGAAGCGCUUCUUGGGAGGCAACCCAAGUUAUAUCCUUUCAGAUUUAGUUGUUAUUUUAGUUACUUUUUAUUUUUCUAUGUAAAUAAGUAGUUAUAACCUCUCUCUAGCUUGUUUUGUUGUAUAUGCAUAUUUGGAAAGCAUGCAAGUUAGAAGAAAGAAAAUUAGAGCUUUCAAGGCAUUGCCACCAUUGAUAAGGGAGUUUAAUUUUUAUUUUUUUUUAGCUUUUCACAUUGAGAACAAUGUGCAAUUUAAGUUUGGAGGAGGGUUUUAUUGUUNNNNNNNNNNNNNNNNNNNNNNNNNNNNNNNNNNNNNNNNNNNNNNNNNNNNNNNNNNNNNNNNNNNNNNNNNNNNNNNNNNNNNNNNNNNNNNNNNNNNNNNNNNNNNNNNNNNNNNNNNNNNNNNNNNNNNNNNNNNNNNNNNNNNNNNNNNNNNNNNNNNNNNNNNNNNNNNNNNNNNNNNNNNNUUAGUUUAUUUUCGUAAUUUUUUUGUUUUUAGGAUUUAUUUUAAGAAUGUUUGAGAUGAAAAUUGACUAUGCCAUGAUAUUACCAAUCCUAGAAUGAUAUUUUGAUUAUCUUGCUAUUUUGGUUCUUGGUUUAAUAUAGACAUGAAUUGAGUGAUUGUGAUAUUCUUUUGUUAGUUUCAUUAUAGAAUGUGAUUUCCAAUAAUAUGUACACUAAAUCUUUUACUUAGAAUUAUAAUGUGAUUUAGAGAAAGUUUAUGUUGAUAAAAAGUAUAGUGCAGUUAAGGAUUUUAGAAUUUGUUUGAUUCUCUCUCGAGGCGAAAUUCUAGAUAACACUUAGGAUGGGACAUGAUUUAGGCUAUCUUUGGACCGUUUGAUCCUUUCAAGCUAACCUUGUUAAACUUUUAUCCCUAGUAUACCCUUUUGAGCCUAAUGUCCCUUUUCUUUGUUUAACCACAUGAUAAUAACCUUAGCUUUAAAACAAAAUUCAAAUUUUGCAACCCUCGCUCCUAAGCAUGUAUAUUGUUUUAGGAAAUAUAAAUUGAGCUAAAUGUUGAAAAAGGUGGAAAGAUAGAGUUGCUAAAAAAAAAAUUCAAAAAAUUGUUAGAAAUCACCCCACUGCCUACAAUAAAAAAAGAAAUAAGUUUGGGGGUUUGGAAUUGUGAUAAAAAAAAAGAGAAAAAGAAGAAGUGUUGAACAAAAAGAAAAAAAUUGCUAAAAAUGGUGUACUUCAUAAAGGAAAAUAAAGCUCUAUAGGUCCUAAAAUAAUGACGUGCUUAGGUUGAUAUUGAGUCACAUUAUAUCCUUUAUCAUACCUAGACCCCAGCCUUACAUUAUGAGCUUAAUAAAGACCUAUUGAUCUUUGAAUAAGUGUUAGUCCACAUUAGUGGAGAGAAAGAUGAAAAGCAAACUUAUGGAAUUCUAGCACUUAGCUAAAUUUUGCAUUGGCAUAAUUUUAUCUGGAUUGUAUGAUAUUCUUUGUAGAAAGAUCAUUCAAACACACAUAAAUGUUGUGAAAUCCAUUUUGAGAAUGAACUUGCAGUUGAAUUGAGCAUGAAUUUAAUGAUUAUUUAUGUUUUACCUUUAGUUAAAAUUGUGGGAUAAUUUUUUUAAAAAAAUAGGGGAAUUCAUGCUUUGGUGAAUUGCAUCUCUAGCUAGUUGUUUUGUUUUUAGUUCUUCCCUUUUGCUUGGGGACAAGCAAAGAUUCAAGUUUGGGGGUAUUUGAUGCGUGCAUCAAAUAUAUAUUUAACAGGAGAUUAAAUGCCUAAUUAGUCUAAGUUAGACUAGAUUUAGGAUUGAAUUUAGGUAUUUUUAUUUAUUUUAUUAGUUUAGUUUAGUUUAUGUUUAAAUGUUUAUUUUAAGUUAAUAAUGUUAGCUUUAUGUUAUUUAUAUUUAUUUUUAUGUUUUUGUAGGAGUAGGAUAAAAAAUAAUUUCAAUUGGUGAAGAAAUGUGCAUAAUGGACUGUUGCUCUGUUUGCAUAUGUUUCAUUUUUUCAAGUACAUCUCCCACUACAAAAGUCCAAAUAACAUGAUUUUUAGACCAUUAGAAAGCUAAGAGGUAGGGCUACAACUUUGAUGUCUACUACUUUAGCCAGUUCUGAUUGGAAGGUAGUCAAAAUCUUUAUCAAAGUGAAAGUACUGCACCAAAAGAACAAAAUUGGGCAGAACCCUUAAGAGCUGCGGCUCUGGAAAAUGAGAGCCACGACGCUCAUUGUAUUUUCCAAAAAUAACAAGCUUAUGGGAUUUUGGAAGCUAGGGCUUUUGGAGGCUAUUUAAGGGGCCUUUUUCAAAGGUUUCUAGGAGGAGGCAACAAGCAAUUUCUCUGGAGAAAAAGAGCAAAAAACAAAGCAAGAAAGCAAUAGAAUUGGAAGGAGAAUCAAGAUCACAAAACUUCAACUAUUAGUUUUCUCUCUCUAUUGUAUUUUUCUUAUUUUCGUUGACUUGGAUUAAUAGCUAAUUUUCUUUGGAUGAAGUUUUUAUUAUGUAUUAGGAGAUAAAUUAAUUUUCUAGAAUUGCAAUUGAACUCACAUGUAAUCUAAAUUUUUAAUCUCUUUCUUGCUUAUCUCUAAUGGGAUUAGAAUUGUUUAUUCCAAUUUGUUCUUAAUGCUUUUAAUUGCCUGGCUACCAAUUAAAUUGAUUUAGGAAUCUAAACAAACUUGGGAAAGGGAGUUUAGUGUAGACUAAAAUUGAGAUAGCAUAUAAUCAUAUUACUUGAUUUACGUAUAAGAUGGGGAUAUACCUAUAGGCCAUAUGCAUCCAGAUUAGAGUCUGAACUUAAUAAAUCUGUUUUAAUUUUAAUUCACAUAGGGAUAUAGUGUUUUGGUUAAAAUAGAUAUUUUAUAAGAUGAGUCGGGAGACCCUUAUAAAUAAUUUAAGACUCUAGAUUAGCAAUUCAACUCAUUAAAAUAAAUUAAGAAAGAGAGGUAAGAUUUAGAUGAAGUGUGAGGGAUAUUGUAAUUCUAGGCUUGUUUGAUUUGAUUUUUACUCAAGUUAUUCUUAUUUUGAUUUUUUUUAGUUUAAAUUUUGAAUAAUUAGUUUUAGUUAAUUAAUUAAAUUUGAUUGUUUGGAUAAGAUUAAAUUGUUCUAAUUUUAGUACAUCGUAAAAUUUUAGAUCAAUUCUUUGUGGGAUCAAUACUAUGCUUACUUAUAUACUAUCUAUUCGAUACGUAUACUUACGUAGUAGAAUUUUAACUGAUAAAAAGAUUCCUUUCUAAAUUUCUUGAUGAGAAAGAAAGACUCUAGAAAGAUUUUGGUAGAGUAUAAUUUGCCUCUUAGUUUAAUUUGUUUUAGUUUCCACCUUGUGAAAAAGGAAUCGUUUGAAGGAGUACACUUUCCAUUAGUGCAAAAAAAAAAAUCACAAAUUAAAACAAUGAGGGGUAAAUAGUCCAACAAGAUGGGCAAGAUGGGGAAGAACUCUAAGUCCCAAACAAUUUUGUUGCAAAAGAGAGGACAAUUAUCAAACUUUUGACAAUUUCAUUUUGUUUUCAUGUAUAUGGCAGUUUCAUUUUAUUUUUUAGACGAACUUACAAUUAAUUGAGAAUUUUUCAAAGAGAACAAGUUCAAUAAGUGGGCAAUUGCACCUUAAAAAAAAAAAAUUAGUGACGAUUUCUACACUUUCAUGUCGAGGUGGACAGGUUUCUGAACCUGCAUAUAGCGACAAGGAUUUCACAUAUGUAUAUCUUUAAACUUAAAAUGAAAAGAAUUUAAUUGAUGAAGAAUGCAUUUCAAAUAUAUAUAAAAAGGGGUCUUUUUUAAUAAAAUAUAUAAAAGAGUAUUAGCUAUUUAAGUCAAAGCAAAAACUAAACCUAACUUACGUACCAUGAAGUAAGAGUAAACCUAACUUACCUACCAUGAAGUUAAACUAAACCUAACUUACCUACCAUGAAGUAAAACUAAACCUAACUCGAGCUGUGCUAUGCACCUGUCAUGACGGGGGGCUAAGUGUGCAUCAAUGGCAACUAUUUUUAGUCGACCAAACGAAACAACAAUGGGAAUUUUUCAGGGUCGAUAUAUUAUCAAAAUUAUUAUUCUUAUUUUUUAAAAAAAAUAUAUCUUAUUUGAUUAUUAUAAAAUAAUAAAUAGUAAAAUAGGUAUAUAUUUANNNNNNNNNNNNNNNNNNNNNNNNNNNNNNNNNNNNNNNNNNNNNNNNNNNNNNNNNNNNNNNNNNNNNNNNNNNNNNNNNNNNNNNNNNNNNNNNNNNNNNNNNNNNNNNNNNNNNNNNNNNNNNNNNNNNNNNNNNNNNNNNNNNNNNNNNNNNNNNNNNNNNNNNNNNNNNNNNNNNNNNNNNNNNNNNNNNNNNNNNNNNNNNNNNNNNNNNNNNNNNNNNNNNNNNNNNNNNNNNNNNNNNNNNNNNNNNNNNNNNNNNNNNNNNNNNNNNNNNNNNNNNNNNNNNNNNNNNNNNNNNNNNNNNNNNNNNNNNNNNNNNNNNNNNNNNNNNNNNNNNNNNNNNNNNNNNNNNNNNNNNNNNNNNNNNNNNNNNNNNNNNNNNNNNNNNNNNNNNNNNNNNNNNNNNNNNNNNNNNNNNNNNNNNNNNNNNNNNNNNNNNNNNNNNNNNNNNNNNNNNNNNNNNNNNNNNNNNNNNNNNNNNNNNNNNNNNNNNNNNNNNNNNNNNNNNNNNNNNNNNNNNNNNNNNNNNNNNNNNNNNNNNNNNNNNUGUGAACCUCAUUUGUGGUUUGCAAUAAGCAUUCAACAAUUAUGUACUAUUGUUCUAAUAUUUACAGGCUAUUUUAUUUUAAUUUUUAAUUUAUAUUAUAUUAUUAUAUUGUCUUUGUUUUAUGUGAUAGUUGAUUUAUUUAAAUUAAAAAUUUUGAUUGUUGAUUUUGUAUUAGUCAUUCAAAAAAUAUAAAAAUUUUGCAUCUCAAAAAACUAAAAGAAUAAAAAUUCAAUAAUUUUUUUAAUUUCAAUAUAAAAAGCCUUAUUGAAUAUUUCACUUAGGUCUUUGAAUUUAUUGAACCGUUUCUACUAAUUUCAUUUAAUAAAUCUCUUGCAAUGUAUUCAGUUUCAACAGUUAAAAGGUCUCAAAUUCAAAUUUUGAUAUGGCAAGAUAAAAUUUAUAAGAAUGGAAGAAGGUAAAUUACGUUUCGUUGUGUACGUAAUCCAAUAAAUAAAUAAGUCUCUCGCAAUUCUGUUCAAUAAAGAAAUAUCUUCAACUAAUGUGAACCCCAAACUAUAUGAAUACAUUGCGGGCCAGGGGGCGGCCCAACUUGUGGACAAUUCUACUAUCAUCCAUGAUCCAAAAUUCGUGGGAUUUCAAUUCCCGGAAUAUAAGAAUGAUAAUUUGAAAAGCGAAGGGAAGCGGUAAUAUAAGAAUUUUGAGUAAACUAGUCGUUUAGUCACUAAACUUUUUUUGCAUAGUUACCAACAUUAUAUGCGUUGUACCUUUGUUGAUCAUUCGUAAUUAGUGAUCACCAAUGGAAUGCCUCAUUUGCAUUCCGCAUCACCCUUUCAUUGUAACAUGGCUAGUGCCAUCAUGGUAUUUUUUUAUUUUUUAUUUUAUUUAUUAAGAGAAGAGAAUUCGAAUCUUACUUUUUAAAAAGAAAAAUUAUAUACUAAUUAAUAAAUCAAAUAUUUGAACAUCACUAUGGUAUUUCUUUAGUGUCUAAUGAUGGGUGACCAACAAAUAACGUAGACUUUUAUGACAUUAGUGAUCAAAUUGUAACUUUUCAAAAACAGGUGAGUAAGAUAUAGAUGCAUAACUUUAUUGACCUAAAUUUCCAAAUAUAAAACGAAUACUACAAUUUUUUUCCUUUUACAAAUGGUCCCAAUUUGAAGAUUAAUUUAACUUAAUUUAUUUUUAGAGAAUGAAAAAAGAAUAAGAGUGAUACAUCUAACGUAAAAAUGUUCAUAUUGUUUCAAAUAUGUUUGUAUGAAGAACCGUCUUCUAUUGCUUUGCCUACUUGAUCAAAUGCUAAAGCUCAAUGAGUUAAAAAAAAAAAAAAAAGAUGCCUACCUGAUCAAAUGUUGAAGCUCAAUGAGACCUCAACUUUUUUUUAAUGUACAACUCAACCAUAUAAUGGUAAUCAACAGUAAGUUUGGUUUGAUUUUGAGCAAAAAUUUAAUAAUAAGUGUGCCUAUUGUUUACUUAAAAGUUAUGUUUAUGUUUAAAUGCCUUCCUCUAAAUGAAAGAAAAAAAAACUGGUCCCAAGGGGAGAAGGCAACCGAGUGAUUGCCAGGAAGGUACAGCCGAACCAACCUUCGCAAAUUAGAAUAGUGAAGUGAGGGUUGAGCCCAGCCUUUCCUGUAUCCUGUCCUACUUCUUUCUAACCUCAAUUAAUACACUCAUUUAAGUUUAAAUAGUUGUGAUUGGUUGUUUUAAUGAUUUAAGGAACGAAAAUUUUAUAUAUAUUUAAAUUUAUACAUAUAUUUUAUGAAAUUAUAAUUAUAAGUAAACAUUUUCAAUUACAGUAAUAUGUCAAAACUAGAGAAAUUACUAUAUUUUGACUCUAUGUAACAUUUUAUGCUUUAGUCAAUUCAGUGACAAAAGGAGAGGGGUGACGGCAGCUACCUUUCAGUUUUUAAUUAUUUUUUAUUUUUGUAGUUAUAAAAUUGAAAUAUAUAGUUUUGUCAUGCCUAAUAAAAUUAAAUAAAUUGUUUUAGAACAGUGGUAAAUCAUUUAACUUAAGCUGCCUGGGUUUAAUUUUAAUUUUUUUUGUUUUUCCUUUUUUUUAAAGCCUUCAUUUUUUUUUGUUUUCCUUUGCACACAAUUUUCACCCUUUCUCCUAUUCUAUUUUUUUUAUGAAUCAAUUAAAAAUUUUUUCUCUCCAAACCAAAAACCUAUAUUAAACCCUUUUAACUUACACAAAUUUGAAAUCCCUUUCUCAAACCCUUUAACUCUAAACAAUUUAAAAUAAUUUUCUCUUAUUCUCUUUUUUCGUAAAUCAAUCAAAAAAUCUUUUUCUUUCCAAAUCAAACAACUAUGCUAAACCUUUUAACUCACAUAAAUUUUUGAAAUUCCUAGCAUUUAUUAUUAAUCUAUCAUAAUUCAUAAGUAAUGUUUCUUUAAUUUCCAAAUCCUAAUCCAAUUUUAAUUUUUACACUUGCUUUAUAUUAGUAAUGUUUGAAUUUAUAAAAGAUAUUUUAGAUCAGUUAUUGUUAUGUAUUCUUAAAUCCUUUUCUCACAUUUUCUUGAAAGGCUUUUGGUUUGUCAACAUGGAUCUUAUCAUCACUAGCGAUCCUGCGAACGUGCAUCACAUAUUAAGCAGCAACUUCUCCAUGUAUCCGAAAGGGGUAGAGUGGAAGAAGCGAUUUGAUGUUUUUGGAAGUGGACUUAUCAAUUCGGAUUUUGAGGAAUGGAAGAAUCGCAAGGUAUUUUUUCGAGGCUAUUUAAGCCAUCAAAGGUUCCAUGAACUCCUGCCAAAGAUUUUUGAAGAUAGCAUGAAGAAUAAGCUGAUCCCAAGUCUGGAGCAUGUCUCUAAGCAAGAUAUACCUGUGGACUUUGCAAGUCUACUUAAAGGGCAUAUAUUUUAUAUUUCUUGCAGAUUUGCUACUGGUUGUGAUGCUUGUUCUAGCUUCCCUGUUAGUUUCCAUGAAAAUAUCUUUCCAAAUGCCAUAGCGAAUGCUUGCGAAGCCAUAUUUGCUCGCCAUAUCUUUCCAGAGAGUAUUUGGAAACUACAAAAAUGGCUGGGAAUCGGAAAAGAAGGGAAAUUACGUGAUGCUCGGAUAACAAUUGAUAACGUGUUGGCCGAGCAAAUAUCGCUAAAGCGAAAAGAGAUGAGCGACAGAAUGGCGGGGGAGGAUAUAGAUUUCAAUGCAUUGGAACUUCACUUGAUAGGACACAGACUCCUUGGACCUCUAUCUGUUUCUAAUAGCUUAAUUAGAGACAACAUGCUUGCUUUGAUGUUCGGUACCCAAGAUACUACAAGCACAGCCCUCAGUUGGUUCUUCUGGCUUCUUUCAAGGCAUCCGGCUGUUGAGAACAGAAUUCGAGAAGAAAUACAAGAAUAUUUUCCCGAAAAUGGAGAAACGAAAUGGCUGGCCUAUGGUGCUAAAGAGUUAGAUAAACUGGUUUAUCUCCACGCAGCUCUGUGCGAAACCUUAAGACUAUUCCCCCCAGUUCCUUUCCAGACGAGGACUCCUCUUCAAAAUGACACCCUUCCUAGUGGUUAUAGAGUUAAUCAGGGUCAAAAUAUCCUGAUCUGCACAUAUGCAAUGGGGAGGAUGACAUCUGUGUGGGGAGAGGAUUGCCGUGAAUUCAAGCCAGAGAGAUGGAUCACCCAUGACGGAGGGAUCAAACACGAACCAGCACACAAGUUCUUCGCAUUCAAUGCAGGGCCUAGGAUUUGUCCUGGGAAGGAUCUUGGUUUUACUCUAAUGAAGGCAAUUGCAUCAACUAUUAUCCACAACUACCAUGUCCAGGAAGUAGAAAACCACGUAGUGACCCCUAAAUCCAGCAUCAUUCUGCAUAUGAAGCACGGUUUAAUGGUUACAGUGAAGAAGAGAUGGCCUUGACAUUGGUCGUCUCAUAUACGACACUAUAUACGGAUGCUGCGUUAGUAGCCAACUUGGCAGCCACCCAAAGAUCCAUGUUUUGGUUUUCUAAUAUCAAAAAGGUCAAAUAAACAAUUAAAUAAAUAAACAAAAAAGAGUUGCACCUUUAAUUUGAAACAUAGAAUAAAAUACUUAAGUCCAAUUUUAACUUUUAUUAAUGCCUCAACCUUUUCGGUGUGAGGCAAAGCAAGCUUGAGCCAACUCCAAAUUUGUGAGUUGAUAAUUUCAAAUUACAUGAAGAUUAAAUUAAAAUCAGAAUUUUUUUUGCAUAAGAGUAUUCUUAAUUUCAUAUUAUUUUUUCAAAGAGGAUGCUUAAACAUUUAGUGCUAAUAUAUCCACAUGGGCCCAUUACUAUAAAAAACAAAUAUAUUAAUUAACAAAAUAAGCAUUAAAAAUAAAGAAAAUCAACAUAAAAUUCAAGUUUGAUUUUGAUCCAAAAGUUAAUACGUAAGUAUUUGAUCUGCAAGGAGCAAACUAACAUAAUUCUGAUAGAUGAUUAAUUUUCAAUUUACUUAAUGCUUAACUGGAUCGCUGUUAUCCAAUUCACCUACCCCUUUGAGUGUAGCAAGAAUAGGCCCAUUCUCCGGAAUGGCAUUAUUCGAGGCUUAACCUCCAACUUUGUGGUCAAGUCCACAUGCUCUAUUUAACGUAAUCAGGCAACCUUAUAAUAAAACACUAAAAGCUUGUUUUGCCUUAUAUAAAAGUUAUUAUAAAAUUCUUAUAAAAAAUAAUAAUUUUUAAAAUUAAAUUAAAACUCUUUGAUAAGAUAUUUGAUAAAAUAAAUUAUAUGAAUUUUAAUUUUGAUUAAAAUUAUCAAAAAAAUAUUUAUAUGAUCUUCAAUCACUUAAUAAAUCAAAGUGAAAUAACUAUAUUUUAAGUUUAUAUACAAUUUCAGAUGUUAAAAUAAAAAAAAAUCUUUAAAAAAACAAAAUAAUUGUCAAACUUGUAUAAUAGUAAUAAUAUUAAAUUUUUAUUGAUUUACCAAGUAAUCAGAAUAUCAUAUUCGAAUUUUUGUUUUUUUUUUUUAAAAAACGAUGUAUUUGAUAUUAAAAUUGUUUUGGUGAAAAAGAAAAAAAAAACCUUCAAAUAAUAUCUAAAUGUAACUUUGAAUUUUGAAUUUUUUUUCUUAAUCUUUAUAAAAAUAAAAAAAUCUUAAAAUUUACUAUUCUGUUAUUGAAUCUUCUAUUUUUUUUUUCUUUUUUCCUUUUAGUGGUAGGAGAGGAAAAUUACGACUUGCACUGAAGACUGGUGAUUUGCUAAAAAAAGAAGAGAGGGAAAUUGAUUGAGAAAAAUAUAUUUUUAUAGAAAAACUAAUAUAUUUUUAAAAAAAGAAAAAAAAACUCCUCUCUCGAACGUUUUUUUUUAACUCCUUUUUUUUAAUUUUGUUAUUUAAAAAUACUACUUGUUUUUUAAGAGCUUCUUAAAAAUCCAGUUUGGCCCAACUUCUGUUUUUAAGAGGUAGAUAAAUUGAAAAAAAACCAGACCAAACAGACACUAAACCUUCCAUCAAACAAUUAACAAGUCAUUAUUUCUCUAUGAACAAUUUAGGGUCUUGAUAUCUCUAAAUCCUCAGCCUUGUGCUGGGAACAAACUACAGCAAUAGCUAGCUAGAGUAUGUGGUCAAGCACAAAGUAUCUGCAAUUACCUUCACACGGUUGAAAUGAAACUAAAAGCCAAAGCCAUUUCAAUUUAGUAUCACAAACAAAAUUGAGGUCCACUACCAGACUGUAGACUAUGCUAGCAUUUGCUUCUUAAUUCCCUAUUCCACAAAAAAAUCUUGCGUGACAAUAUAAAGAACCAAAUAAGGUGAAAGGGUAUCUGGCGCUUUGUUUCUAUACAUGGCAAGUUAUAUAGAUACAACAGUAUGCGUGAACGAAUCAUGAUCCAACCUUAAUGUCGACACUUCAGCUAAAGGAUCUUCCCAUUAUCAUAGAUCAGCCUUUCUGGGCAUUUUAGAGUGUUAUCUGAGCAAGAAAUUCUCUACUUCUAUAACCCUGAUACAAACAUAAAUGUCCAUAUUACUAUCCAGGUGUUAUUUUUUAUGACACUUUGACCAUCCAAAUCAUCAAAUGCCAAAUAUUUCUAUUAGCAAAUGAUCUGGACAGAACAAUAAAAAAAAAAACACACACACACACACACAACAAUGACUUCCUACAAGUCCAGGGCUAAAUCUCACAGGUAAAAGAGAAUAGCAAAAUCACCUGUUUUUAGUAUCUUCACAUUAUUCUGUUCAGAGGAAUCCUAUUACCUUGAUGAGGAAUCCUUUGUACAGGGGAUAUUACUUGCGGCAUUGUCAUGCCAACUGAAACAAUAAUCUCUGCAGUAAGAAAGAAAAUAGGAUAAUCACAUAACCAUGCAAAGAUGAGUAUAACCUACCAGCAAUAAAAAAUGAGACUUGAAGGAUCUAUUAAGGCACAACUCAACAGGUUUCCUGAUUGAUACUAAUAUAUCCUUAAGUGGGGAAGAAUGUUCAGUGCAAUUUGUUGACACCUUUAUUAUUUUAUUCUUUUUCGCCUCUUUCUAUCACAUUUCCAAAUAUCUUGGAAAUUUCAAAAAUUCACAUUGUAUUUCAUAAUGAGUAUUAGUCAAGUAGAAAGAUAGUCAUUAUAUAGUUAUAUUGCUUGAAUGUUGAACACCAUCAUACAGUGAGGGCUUCAUGUAUUUUCUCAAUUUAGCAAAAGUGUAAAAGGUUCAAGAAGUACACUUCUGAUCUAACUGAAAUGAGAGAUUUUGACAAUGAGUUCUACAGUCUAACAAAUAUUGAGCAUAUAUAUAUAGUACUAGCAGCACAAAUACAAAACAAAUGGUUGAAUUUAAAGCCGCCUACAAAUUGUAACUCUUUACUGUUUUAAGAAUUUACCAUUUUGUUUGCCCUGUCUAGUACACCAGUGUAGCUGUCGACAAACGAUGACAGUUACCGUCAAAAUCUAACAUUUGUUUAGUUGCCAACUUGACUUCUAAAGCACCUAGAGAAAUAUCAUCAUGUUCUUUAACUACAAUCACACCAUUCACAACUUUCCCAACAAAGACAAAAAGCUAGCAUUAAAAGUCUCUUAAUACAUAGCAAAAGAGUUGGGCAACACCUAAAAAGAUUCAAUGCAUUGUAACGGGGAAGGCAAUCAGUUAUUGUAGCCAUCAGUUAAUGAAAAUCAAAGAAGAUUGAAGAGAGGAUAAUUGUAAAAGAAAGAGAGAUAUAUGCCCAUAAUAUGCUGCACCUACAAAAUCUAGCAUCAUUAUUUUUUAUUCGAAACCAUCAUUAAAAGAAUUGAAUCUGUACAGAACCGACAUGAUAUGAUGCACAGAAACAGAAAGAAAAAUUUUUUCUGCAAACAAUGAUACAAGAGACAACAAAAUGCAUCACACAAUUAUUUCAAAGAAUAGACAACAGACCUAUGCCUUCUCGAAUAGUUAAGUUUGGCCUUAAGAUCUCCUCAGAAUUAACAAGAAAUAUGUCCCCAAUGUAUAGAUGAUUUGUUGGUACAUAAACACUGCACAACUCUUCAUCCCCAUUAUCCCUCUGGAAUCAAACAGAUAACCAAUUAUCGAAUCAGAGAAGCUCAACAAGAUGCAACUAUAAAUCACCUGACCAUCUUUGCCAAUGAAAACAUUAUCUUCCCAGAUAUUGCAUCAGGCUUUUCCAGAAACUUAAAACUUCCACUUGCGUGGAUAUUGCUGACUUAUGCUUUACUCUUAAGCUUAAUUUCAAGAGGAAAUUUGUGAUCUUCCUCAAUCAAUCCAGAGUAAACUGAUUUACAAAGGGAACCAAUUCUAUUUAUAUAUUACCUAGACUUUUAGCAUCCAGUGUCACAUUUCUGUGUAAACUUAAAAUAUGGAAGAAUGUGAUAGCUAGCAAUAAUUAAAUUCUGUAUGAAGCCACAAUCUAAUCUAUAUAGCAGAUUGGGAGGAAAGUAAGUUUCCCACUGCUGAAAAAUGUCAUUCUAAUCUAUUUACCAAAUUAGGGACGAAAGCAAUAUUCCUAUUUCAACAGAGGAUUUUACUCUGUUUAAAAAGAUGAAACAGAAAUUAACAGCAGCAAUUCACUUGAUGGACAAUUUACUCAAAGCAAUUCCAUUUACUUUGAAUAGGCAUCUCUCAUUAGGGCUGAGCAUGCAGGCGGUUGAAAUCACCCAACCCACGGUUUUCAGCAGUUUCGGCCAAAAAUGGUUCGGUCAAUUGCCUCCAGUUGAGGAGUCGGUUGAUCAUGGCGGUUUGGGUGGUUGAUCAGUUCAGCCAUUGAUGGAGAAUCCUUCACCCCAACACUGACCGAAAAACCGACCCCUGUAAAGUGAAAGGCUAAGGUGUAACCAUUAUAACCAGGGAUCAGCUGGCUUGAAAGGCAGCCAACGAAACAAUUUAAAGCUGCAACUGAUCAAGAACCGCAUCAAGAACCCAAAGUCACCAGAGAAAUCACAAACGACGACCAGGAAAAGGAUCAUAACAAACGCUAGUUUAGAAGCAAAGCUUAGGAGAACAAAGUCAGAAGAGAUAUCAAACAGUGGACUCAUUACAAGACAUGUGUUUAGGCACAAGGUCAGAAGAUACAAGCUUUUGGAUGAGGUUUCAAAUUUAAAAAAGGACUCCAAUGCUUAUCUGAAAAAACGAACGUACAUACAGAGAUGGUUAUGGUUUUGUUUUCUUGAGGGGAAUUUUGCAGCCGUUAGAACCAACCAACCAUGGUCAGUCACGAUUUGAUCGGCUUCUCCUUUGCCUUGGUCAGUGGCGGUCAGUUCCGCCACCCUGGUCAACUUGAUCAGUUGUGGCUUCCUCCAAAACUGAGGCCGACCAAACCACCCGAUGCUCCUCCUAUCUCUCAUGCUUGAUAUAUAUAUAUAUAUAUAUAUUUAUAAAGAAUUUGGAAAUAGGUAUCCUGGCCUACAAAUUGUACCCAAUUAACAAAUAACAUUCAAUGUGCACAAGAUGGUUCUCAAUAAGCUCAACCAAAUUGUAAAACUAUAAGACCUGAUUAUUUGAAUUGGAUAAGUAUUACUUACCUGAAGGAUAACAGAAGAUGUGAUAAAACCAAAUGCAUAUUCACCAAGACGAGGAUGACGAAUAAUUGCAACCUCUUUAAAAGCACUAGUGUUUUGGUCUGUGAAAAGGAAAAAGAAAAGAUAAAUUAUCGAGUUUGAUUACAUCAAGCAUCAACUCACUAAUUCCUAAAUUUAUUAGUUAGGAGUACACAUGGAAAACCAGCUUAGGUGAAUCAUCAAACAAGGAUUAGACAAGGCAAGCCAUCAGAGAUUUCUACUCGCAUGGUAUCACUCUAUUAAACAAGCUCCAUUUCCCCUCGUAUAAGCAUUUUGAGAUCCAUAAGCAUAGCCAAAAUUUUCUCACAAAUGCUCUUCUACCCUCUACCUCUGCCCCACCCAAACCAAAAGAGCAAAUUCUUCUUACCGGAUCUGGUAAGAAACUAGAACCUGCCAGCUAAGCUCCAGCAAUAAUUUUUUAGAUAUUGCAUUCUGGUUCAUGAUAACUAGUUAAAACAAUCAAUUUUCCUUUAUGCCAGAAUUUACUUUUUCAGAUCCUAUGAAAACGAUUAGGCUAAUCUACUUCAAAAAAAUUAAUAUAUGCAAGAUAAAACAGAAGUCGAAUUAUAUUCUUAAUUAUCUGUAACCUUUUUAGGUUGCAAAUUUACUAUAACAAAAAAUAAAAUAUCAUUACUUUUAACCUGAUCAUAAAUAGGAAACUGUUUUACACCAAGCAUCAACUCAUUAAUUGCUAAAUUUAUUAAUGUCAAGAGUAAACAUGGAAAACCAGCUUAGGUGAAUUAUCAAAGAAGGAUAUACAAGGCAAGCCAUCGAAGACUUCUACCCGCAUGGUAUCACUCAUUAAACAAGCUCCAUUUCCUCUCAUAUAAGCCUUUGAGAUCCCUAAGCAUUGCCAGUUCUUUCUCACAAAAUACUCUUCACCCUCCACCUCCACCCCACCCAAAAGAAAAAGAGCAUAUUCCUCUUACCGGAUCUUCUAAGAAACUAAAACCUGCCAGCUAAGCUCCAGCAAGCAUUUUUAUUUAUAUUGCAUUCAGGUUCAUAAUAACAAGUUAAAGCAUCUGAGCCAGAAUUUACUUUUCCAGAUCCUAUGAAAACUUCUUGGUUAAUCUACUCCAAAAAAUAUAUGCAUAAAUGUAAGAUAAAACAGAAGUUAAAUUAUAAACUUAUAUAUCCCUAACCUUUUUAGGUUGCAAAUUUACUAUAUAUAAUAAACUAAAUAUCAUUAAUUUUGAACCUGAUCAUAAAUUGGAAACUGCACAUGAUAACACCACAUUCUAUACCAAUGGAAAAAGGGCACAGUAAAUAAGAAGAAACUGUUUAGAAUUAGAUAAAAACUAGUAUUACCAGGAGAAAUAGCUGUGCUAACUUGUUUGGAGGCAGAGUAUAUGUGCUUUACAAAGGGCAUUCGUCUGAUUAACCAUUCCCCAAGCCAGAAAACAGUGGCACCCAGCCAUGAUGAAGCAAAUAUGCCCACAAAAAAUAUAAACAAUAGAGAUGUAAUGAACCCAAGGCCUGUACCACAAGACAUACAAAAUUUCAGUAAGAAAUGCAGCUAUGAGAAUGAAUACAAGGCACUCAAGCUCAAGGUUAAUCAUAAACAGCAAGAUCGGGCAAGUUUUUAAAACAGUGCAGCAGAACAGGAAACAAAUGAAAAAAAAAUAACAAGAUUUUCAAGCAUCCUUUUCCACUAAAAAACCUGACUCCAUGAAGGAAUUUCAAACACAACUAUCUUCUAAAACUGCACUAAGAUUACUAUGUACCUCAUCAAAACACCAAUAAAUCAAAUCCUGUAACAACAAAUGCUUCAAUCUGGAAUAAGGUGAGUCAAUAAGGAAGCCUAAAGUAUCAGACACCAAUUAUUGUAGCCUCUAGUAUACUCCAGAAGCCCAUAAGGAACUGCCACCACCACUGCAGCCGUGGCCAGAAAGGAAAGCUGCCGCGUGCCAAUGAAAUCACACACAGUAAUGCAGAAUGCAAAGAAGAUAAUUCUGGAAUUAACUUCCUAUUAAGAUUUUAUUUUGUUAUUUUCUAGUAUUUUGGGGGCUUAAUUAUAAUAUCCCAUAGAUUUGGGGUUAUAUUUGGUAUUCCAUGUAUAUAUUAGGGUUUAGGAUCUUUGUAUGUGAUUCCCUUAUGCUAUUAGGUUUUGGUUUUAAAUCAAGUUUGUCAGUAUUUUAAUUGGUGUCAUUGGAGUAGGAGUUGUGGUUCGUUUAGAAUUAGGGUUGGUAAGAGCCUAUAUAGAUAUCAAUGUACUCUUUAUGCAGAUAUAGAAUAUUAUGAGAAAUUUUUCAGAAUUAUUGCCAUAGUGGUUGUGUGAGGCAAUCAACCUUAGCUGUAACUCCUAACUCCCAAGGAACCAUAGGUGUGAACCUUAGGUCUUCUCUCUUCUUAAUUGUGUGAUGAUAUCCUGGAAUCCCAGAUCUGAAGCUUAAGGAUCAUACCUUUCUACUUCUCUGUUCUUUAUUCAAUUUUUCCUGUUUUCCUCAAGAAUAUUAGAUUAUAAAACUAUAACCCUAGCCUACUAGCUGCUCUUCAUCAAGCAGUCAAAAUAAAUUGGCUGAAAUUACAAAGAACAGCUGUAAAGCUCAGAUUUAUAUCUCCCUUGAUCAUUCAUCUGCCCUUGCCCUUUUCAAUGUGUCAAAGAUAAUUAGCAACUAACUCAUUUUUAAGGAAUUUUUAUGAAUGGAUGUAACAAUAAUAUAUUUCAACUGUUAUCUCUAAUAAUGAAAGUGGAGGAUACAUGUUCAGACACCAAGAACUUUGCAGAAUUUCACUAUCCCUGUUACCGAAACAUCGUAAGUAGACCAGCCAUAAGCUGAUACUGGUAACCUAGAACAUAAUUUAUAUAUUUCUAAAUAUCAGCAUGGGAAAAACAUUCAGUUACUUUGAAACCUUACCAAAUAUGUCAACACCAAGCCUGGCAUAGAUUGGACUAAAGAAACCAUCAACAAACUGAAUAAACCACCAUGUCACAAGAAAUGUAACAGCAACUGGAAAGAGUACCACACUGUAAUGUCACCACAAACAAUUAUACUGAGGGGAGAAAACAGUCAAAAUUAAAUAAGCAAACCAACAACAAUUAUUAAAGAAAGAAAAGAAAAACAGUUCAAAAUGCUUGUUACCAUCCAGUCAUGAACUUCUUUGAGACCCAACUUUGUAGAACAGCAUAGCAAGCCUGCCAAAUGCAAGAGCUAACAACAUAAGACAUGCAAACGGUUUAUUUCUAAAACAAUAAUUCAGUUAAAUUCUAUUCUAAAUACCCAAUCAAAUCACAUGUCUAGUGUAAUGAGUGUACACCCAUGUGGAGAUGCACCUACAUAUGGGUGUGAGUACGUUCAUACCCACAUCAGCCUAGAUGUGAGCACAAGUGCACAAGUUUGUGAGAAAAUCUUUUCCUUCAAUGCUUCAUUUGGAAACAAGAAUUUGAGAGAGUGAAAUUGAAUUUAAUUAAUUUUACAACUUACAAGGAUGAGUGCUGUUAUUGUAUAAUAACUAGAAAAUAUUCAUUAUACCAAAUAUAUGGUCUUGAAAACCCUUAUUCUCAUUGCAAUCAUGUCCUAUCACAUCAGCUAUCGCCCAACAAAUCAAGACGUGAUUCGUCAUUAAAAUUACCACAUUAGCAUAAAUGGUUUAUACUUUUCUUUUUCUUUUCUUGGGAAAACUAAAAAUUUUAAUGUUUAUCAAAUAAAGCAGGAAACUUCCUUUUCCUCCUGGCAGCAUAUAUAUAAGCAUACCAAGCUUGCUUUCCAUUAAUAAUUUCUCAGUUCUGCUUAAUCUCUACUUAAAAAAAAUUUAAACUAAAGCAGAGAAUUAAACACUGAAUCAAAGUCCAUUUCAUCAAUUUAUAAAAUGGAGUAAAUUUGUUAUAAACAAUUGAUGUUGGGACGGUUAGACAUAAUCACCUUUUUUUUAUUUUUGGAAAAUAAAAGAAAAGGAAAAGUUUUGUUAAGAGAAAUACCUUGCGAGUGGAGGAAUUGGGAGAGCUAGGAGGAGAUUUAGGGACAUCGUCCGGAUCACGACGAGCGAGUCCUUCACUCAGUGAACUCAACGUGCCUUCUUUUUCUUCGCCCAUUGUUCACUUUCUUUUUUCUUUUUUCCGCUUUCUUGCUUUUAUCUCAGUUGUGAGUUUUGUCAAAGUCGUCAUUGUCUCUUGACUUGUUUUUCCAAUGGUGGUUGUGCCAUUGUUUGGCUAUACGAAUAACUGCCCCUCGGUUCCUAAUAGGACUGGUCAAUCAGGAAUCGGCUCCCAGUAGCAUUUUGACCCCUUGUGAUUUUAGCUUUGACAAAGAAUACUACGUAUUCUUUUUUUUUCUUUUAACAAUUAAACCCGGCCAAAGGAAAAUCACUUUAGGAAAGAUUAAUCCCUCCUCCCUAUACAUAAUAUACUGUUUACACUUUAUUAUCAAUUUUUUAAAAAUUAUUUUAAAAUUUUAAAAUUUUAAAUAUUUUUAAUUAUUUUUAAUUAAAUUUUUAUAUUUUUAUUUUGAGACAAAUAAAUCUUUAUAAUUAACAGUUUAUUAACUUCAUUACUCAAAACAAAGCUUUUCAUUUUAUAUCCACGUAGCAUUAACUUGAAAGUUGACAUUAAUUUGGAAGUUGAAAAUGUCAUAUGACCUUACAAUCAUACUAAAUAAACAUACCAUGUUAAUAUCAUAAAUAUCAUCAUUUUUCAUCUCAAAACUCAAAUUCAAGAUUUUCAUGGAAUGAAUAUAACUAUGAAGACUUAUUGAUGCAUCACUCAUCCAUUUUUGUUAUUUAGAAAUAGUUGGAAGUAACUCUUUUUUGUUUGUAACUAUUAGUUUUGUUCUUUUUCUUCCUUUGAUAAAAAUUUAAAUCCUUUAGUAGCCUGUUUAGUGACAUAUUGAAGUUUAAGACUUCAUAACAUAUGUAAUUUUAAAAAAAAAAUUUCUUGUUAAAUUUUUAUUUUUGAUUUUUUUAAUUUUAGAGAGAGAGAUAGGUGAAUUUGAAUGACAUCAAAUAUUAUUUGACAUCAUUGAGAUUUUAUUGAACUCAUUUUACUUACAAAAAGGGUAUUUAAGUUUUUUUUUUUUUACAACACAUGCUAAAUGUUAAUAGUUGAUAGUUGAACUCUUUCUUUCUAAUUAAGAAAAUCUCAAGGGUUUCCUUGUUAAAAAUACACACCUUCAUAUCUUCUCGGUGUUUCUUAACUUUACAUAAACUUGAAGCGACAGACUUUCUUACUUGAUUUGAUCAUAAUUCCUUUUAAGGAUCUAAAUGGUUCUUUUCUAAUACCUUGAUAACCUUUCAUUGUAAAUAUAGCCUUCGUCCCAUACUAUUCGUGGAAGCUCGGAAAGUGUCAUUUUGGCUCUCCUUCGUAUGCAAGCUUGCUUGCAAUUGUUCAUUUUCCUUUUGUAGCUUACUAUCACGAUCCAAUUCUAAACCAUGAUCGGUGCAAAGGCUCAAUAGACAAGGUCCACUAGCCCAAAGCAAGCAUCAUGAUUCAUUAGACAUAAUCAGGUCUCAUAUUUCUUGCAUUACAAGAAGUUUUCUCAACCAUUUACCAAUAAAUAUAAAUACACACAAAAUUGAUGGUCCAAUGCACAUCUCGUGUGCCUAUCAUGUUCAUAAUGAUAUAAACCAUAUACAACAUUUUAUAUCUUAGUGCAUAUCAUCACUAUCAACAAAAUUUAAAUAAUUAACAAGCCAAACCUUGGCUACAAGAUUAGGUGCUCUAACACUUUACCAAAAAAUGUAAAAAAAAAAAAACAUUUAUACACAAAAAAAGGUAACACCUAUUGAAUGCCUUUCACCAAUACUUAUCAAAAGUUUCACAUCCCAUUUUCUAGAAAUAUUGUGAUCGACACAUGGACCCAGACAGGUAUAGCUUGCUAGGCCCGAGCAAGCCUCUUUACCUUAAUCAUACAUUCAUUAAUCAAUCACACAUGGCUCAUUUACCGACAUCAUCAUCAUACAAGUUUAUAACGUUAAUCACAUAAUCAUAAUCAUUCAUGCAUAGGCGUAGAUACACAAUUAUGAACCUUUCAACAUAAAUAGUGUAUACAUUUUCAUUCAUAAACUUUGUACCUUGCACAAUAUAUAUAUAUAUAUAUAUAUAUAUAUAUAUAUAUAUAUAUUGAAUUUUGUAAAUGGACCUUAGGUGCUUAUAUAGGGUCACAGGCCAUCAUUCAUAAUAUUCACAUAAUUUUGUAUAAGAAACUUACCAUCCAAUAGCUCAACAUUCUAGUAUCAACAAUUAUUUAUAAACAAAGAUAAAAGACUAAUUGGUCAAGUAAAACAUGACCCAACUCCCUAGUCUUCAAAAAGGUAGCUAUGUCACUUACCUAAAAGAAGAACAGACCACAUUUCUGUGACUCAAGUGCUCGACAACUAUUACUGAUUUGCAACAAAAAUAAAGAAAACUAACAUGUGAGUCACAAAGACUCCAUGAGUGGAUACGGGAAAGGGACAAGUCAAAGGGUUAGAGCUUUUGCACAAAGAAGCAUUUAUAUAACCAUGCAUGUAUGAUCUUUCAAAUACGCAUAAGGAACUUGUAAGAAAAUAAUCAUGCUUUCAAACAAGUUUCAUAAAUUCUUAAGAAAUAUGAAUCAAACCUUUAUACAAUUGAAAAUCAAAUUCAACAAUAACGAAAAAUUCGUUUCCUACUUUAUGAAGUCUUAUACUCCUUUAAAACCCAAAUUGAGUAAACCAUUUGAAUCAUAAUUAAAAGGGCUAACUUAUGCAUUCAUUUUCAAAUGUCAUGGUGUUGAGACUUGCCUUCUAGGGCUCACCAACCAUGCACUUGAAACUCAAGAAAGACGGACUAUUCGACAACAAAUAUCAUAAAUCAACUUUACAUUUUACCUUCAUAAUUGACUAAGGAACCUUGUUCCAAUAUUCCAUAAAUCAUACUAAUGGAAAAAAUAAACAUCAUAAUCAUUAAAUAAAUUUAAACACAACAUAAACAUUCAUCAAAUAACUUUUUGAUAGAAUAACCCUCGUUAACCAUGGGCCCUAUGGUAUAUCUCUAAUAACUUUUUACAUAAAGUUAUUUGGCCAUAUUUGAGUACUAAACUAGCUAAGUUCUUGAGAUUUAUGUUUAGAAUUAGGUGUUUUUAAUUAUUUUUUCUUAAUUAGCUUAGAUCAUGUUGAGUUAUUUUAUUUUAAGUUGUUUUAGUUUAAUUUUAUAUUAAAUUGCUUUUAAUUUAGUUAUUACUAAUUUAGUCUAUUGCUUGUGAAGGUUCUCAAAUGAAAGGGCUUCAACUGGUGAUGAACCGUGCAAGUAUGGCUAGUGCUUCUCUUGUACAUGUUUCAGUAUUUCAAGCAUAACUCUUAUCCUAAAAGUCCAAUUGAUGUGAUUUUUAAGCCAUUGGAAAGAUACCUAUCAUGCUAAAACGAGUUGACAAGUUGAAAUGUCAAACCGAGAAAUUGAGAGAAUUUUAGAGAAAGUGGUAUCCCCAUCAAGGAAGGAUUGGGCCAGUACACGUAAUGAUGCAUUAACGGCGUAUAGGACCAUUUAUAACACUCCACUAGGUAUGUCCCCAUUUUGAUUGGUAUUUGGAAAAGUGUGUCACCUUUCGAUUAAAUUGGUGCACAAUGCAUUUUAGGCCAUCAAGAAAUUAAAUUUUGACUUGGAAGUAGUGUGUGAGAAGCUAUUUCUUCAAUUAAAUGAGAUGGAUGAACUUCGCUUGGAGGCAUAUGAAAAUGCCAAGUUGUACAAGGAAAAGACGAAGAGAUGGCAUAAUCAAAAGAUUGUUGAGCAUCGUUUUGAGCCAGGUUAGCAUGUGUUGUUAUUUAAUUCCCAAUUAAAUCUAUUUCUGAGCUAGUUAAAAUCAAAAUGGUCUGGACCCAUUAUUGUAUCCAAAGUGUUUCCACAUGGAGUAAUGGAAAUAGUUAAUAGGUCGACAAAUGAGACAUUUAAGGUGAAUGGACAACAAUUAAAGCAUUACUAGGGAGGUGAAAUUGAUCGUCAACGAUCCUCCAUCCAUUUUCUCAACCCCAAAUAAGCUUUGAAGGAUUCUAGCUAAUGACUAUAAAGGAAACGCUUCUUGAGAAGCAACUCAAGUUUCUAAAUUUAGCUUACUUUAGUUUUUAGUUUCUUUUGUUUUAGUUGCAAUUUUUGCUUACUAUUUGAUAUCUUUUAUAUUCUAAAGUUUUUGCAUCUUAUUUUGCAAGUAUGAGGAGUAAAAAAUUCAAAAUAAAAUAAUAGAUAAAAUUAAAAAAUUUAAAAAGACCAAAGUCACAGCCCUCACUGCUCAAAGUUGCGGCAUUGGAAUUACAAAUUCAAUAUGCUGAAAUAGAAUGCUUCAGCAUUGCAGCCCUUAUUACUCAAAGAUGAGGCAUUGGAAUUAGUAAGACAUAUAGCUAAAAUAAAUGCUUCAGCAUUGCGACACCGAAACCCGAAGCGUAGUGCAGUAAGGUUGAGAACCACGGCUCUCAAAAUGAAAGCCACGAUGAUGGGUCAGGGCCCAACCUUAACCAUGUUUAAGGACCUAUUUUUUUUUACUCUUUUUCUCCCAUUUUACAACUGCCUAAAACCCCCAAACACUCAUCCUUCCUCAUUUUUCACUUUUUCUUGCAUCCACACUACUCUGCCACUUGUGCUUUUAAGUUGUAAGUGUUUAAAAUCAUCCCAUUCAUAAACCCAUUCACCAUUCAUCAUCUUCUCCACAUAUUCACUCAAGUAAGUGUGUUCUUCAAAAUUUUUAUUAGUUUUUGAGAAUUUUUGUGACAGUGAUUGCCAUUGUUGGAUUUAAUCAAUUUUUCAUGUUAGAUGGGUAAAUUAUGCUUGAUUGCUGAUGGGCAUGUCAUUUUUAAAAAUCUUGGUUGGAUAAUGGACUUGUACUUACUUUAAUGAUAGUGGGUUGAAAUUCUUGAUGAGUAUGGUGUGGGUUAGUGGAAUGUUGACUGAUUGUUGUUGGGUAUGUUGUAAUUCUUAAUGAUUAUGGUGGGGUUAAUAGAACUUUGCUUUGGUGAUGAUAGGUAUGUGGACAUAAUUACAAUUUUUGGUUCGAAUAAGUUGAAUUAGGAAUCACUUGGACUAUUGCAGUUCCAUAUUUGUUAACCUUUUAUAUUUUAUGCUCAUCUUUUCAAAGACUUUAGAGAUAAUUGAAAUCUUGUUAUUUGGGUUGCCUUCAUCUAGCUGGUUGUUGGAAUUUCUUACAGUAAUGGCACUUAAGCAUUUAAAACCAAGUUCUAGUGGCAUGUUCUAUCGGACAAAGUUCAUCUCAAUUGGUGCUUCAACAUGAUAUUAUAGUUCACUGAUUAAGAAGGUGCCCAUCCCUGAACAAGGUUUAAAAAUUCCUUUAGUCCAUUAGAAAAAGACACAUCAAAUGAUUGAAGAGCGACAUUGGUAGCGAUUGUAUGCCCAACCUAAAGUUGCGGUCGUGCUAAUGGUAAGGGGGUUUUAUGCAAAUGCUUUUGAACAUAUUGAUGGUGUUGCUUUUGUACGUAAUAAAUAGGUACCAUUCGACAAUCAAGCCAUCAAUGAAUUCUUUGGAACUCCAAAUAUUGAAAAUGAUGAAUAUAGGAAAUAUUUGGGUGAUCAUCAAGAUUAUCUUGCGAUCAUCUUAAAGCUUUGUGUUUCAGGCACACAAUGGAAAAUCUCCCAUGGAGAACUUGUCUCAUUCCAACGAACUGUAAUGAAGAAAAAGUUGAAAGUGUGGCUACAUUUUCCAUUUACACAAAUCAGCGAUAUUACAAAGGAUCUUGUAAUUCUCAUUUAUGCCAUUUUGACUUGUAAAUCCAUCAACAUUGAUAAGGUUAUCUCUCAUGCCAUACUUUAGACGGGUCAAACUAAAUAAGAUGGUAUAGGUUUCCCUUCUUUGAUAAUUGCCUUGUGUGGGAAAACUGGUGUGCAAUGGAAUGAUAGAGAAGAAUUGCAACAACCUAAAGUGCCAAUCACCAUGGGAAUUCUAAGGUUGGAAGAGUUUGUAGCUGUAGUUGGUAGUUCUUCCUAGGCUGUUCCACAACCUCCAUAGAGGACUCCGACUUGUAAUAUAGCUCAAUGGAUGGAAUAGAUUGAUCACCAUCUUGAUCUCCAAGAGAGGCAGAAUCGAGCACAUGAGCAAAUGCGAGCCUAUGCAGAGCAUAUUGGGAUGGAUAUUGCUACUUUACCUUCCUUGCCUAUGGAUUUAGACUCUGAAGAUGAUUUCAUUGAGGAAGAUGAGGACCAGUAGAAUGUGGCUACAACUUGAGGUGAGUGUUUUCUCUUUUUUACUUCGCAUAACAUUGGGGACAAUGUUCACUUUUUUAAAAUUUUGAAGUUUUUAGAUUUUUAUGUUUCUGUUUAUGAUUUUUUUUUAUGUUUAUGCUUAUGUUUUGAAGUUUAAGCUUAUUUAUUUAGAAUGAUAAUUUAAGAGUAUUUGAAUUUAGGAAAAUGUUGAAAAUUAAAAUUAGAGUUAGUGCACCAAUGAAGUGAUCUACCUAUCCAAUGAUGAUAACUAAUUAUCUUGUGAAUCUUUUGCUCUUAAUAAUCAUGAACACUGUUUGAAUAUCAUGUGAAGUCUUAUGUUUAGCAUCAUGAUCAAAUGAUAUCUCCAUACAUGAGCACUAUAUCUUUUGCAUUUAAACAUCAUGUCUGUUUAGAGAAAGUUUAUGUAAAUGAAGAUUUAGAACUAUGUUUAGAGUUUUAGAAUUUGUUUGAAUCUUCCUUGAGAAAAAAUCAUGAGGCUAUACUUAGUUAGGGAGAUGACUUAGGCCAUCCUUGGACCGAUUGAGCCUUUCAAGUCAACUUAUUCACAUUUUUAUCCCCAGUAUACCCACGUGAGCGAAAAUUGCCCUUUUCUUUGAUUUAACACAUAAAAAAUAUUAGCUUAGCUUUUGAGAAAGGUUUUUCCUUUCCACUUUUAUAACCUUCACUCCUAAGCGUAUAAAUUGUUUUAGGAAAUAUAUGUUGAGCUAUUUGAUGAAAAAAGUGAAAAAGAUGAAGUAUAGAGAAAAAUGCAAAGUUUUUGUGAAGAAUUCAUCCCACUACUAAUGAAAGAAAAAAAGUUUAGGGUUGUUGAAUUGAGAAUAAAAACAAUGUUUAAUGAAUGAAAAGUAAAAGUGAAAAAAAAAAGUGUACCCGGUGAAGAAAUAUAAUAAAGUUAUAUAGGUCUUAAAACAAUUAUUUGUUUAGGGUGACUGAAGCUACAUAUUGUUGUAUAUUUUACCUCAACCUUAGCCACAUAUUACAAGUUGAACAAAGUCCUAAAAAUCUUUAAUUGAGUAUUAGCUUACAUUAGUAGAGAGGGAGAUGAAAAGCAAACUUAUGAAACUUUAAUCUAGUUUGAAGUUUGCUUAAGUAUAAACCUAUUUGAAGUUGUCACGACCCAAAUCCAGGGUUUGUCAUCAGCACACAUGAGCUAGGCAGGCAAGCUCGCGAACUCGAGGAAGCCUUCGCUCAUAAACCUAAUUAACAUAAAUCAUAUACAUGAGGCCCUUGGCCAACAUCAUAUCCAUUAACAUUUAAAAUAUUGAACGUACAUAGUUCACAAUUUAGCCCCAUGGCUCAUAUUCUUACAUUAGACUUAAAUAUAAAAAUCCACAUGGCCAUAUGUUGGCUAAUCAUCAUUUUAAAUCUUUGAUCGUUUCAUUGCAUGAAAUCAUAUAGGGUAGUGCGGUUCCCAUAUAAUCUGUUUAAGACAUAACCAUUUUUACAUUGUAGAACUUUAAGACUCGUCUAUGACUCAGCAGAGAUAAAAUGCUAGUGGAUAACAUGCCACUUGCUAAAAAUUACGUGUCUGAUGUCAACAACACUAAGCCACCUGAUCAUCGAUGUCUAUGUACUUUCACAAUGCAAUCAAAAGGGGUGAGUCAUACUAGUACUCAGUGAAAAAGAGCAUAUAUCAAUUGUAAAUGUGCAGGGGUAGUUGCUACACGUAUCCUCUAAACAUGCAUAAACAAUAGUAAACUCAACAUACUCAUAUCAAGACAAGUCAGACAUCACCUGUCAUAAACACAUUAUCAUCAUCUUGGCAGCCGUAUUACGCUGCUACAUACAAACAUCAUUGUGCCUAAAAAAGUAAAGUGACCUGUGUCUAUCAUUCUUACCACAUUUGUUCAUCAACGUCGACUAUGGGCUUACUUUAUCAUAUGAGUUGGCCCAUUGUACGACCAUCUACAUUGUAAAGCCCGACCUUAUAAAACACUAGUCAUGACAUACAUGUGAUGAUAGCAUGAUUGUAUGUUAGGAGAGUCCCGACAAAUUUACAAAAGUCGGUAUUGUACCUAGAGGUACAACAAAGUUGAUUUAAUCCUCGAACUAGAUCAAAUAGGAAUUUUAAGGUGAGAUUAAGAUCGUCAUAGUCCAAGGAUGAUUCAAAAUGGUAAUUCGGAGUUUGAGGAUCAAUUUGGAGUCGAAUCAGAAUUUUCACUAUCUAGGGGUAAAAUGGUCAUUUGCCACUUGGAGAUAAAAUGGUAAUUUUUAAAAAAGAUUUAUUUGUCCCCAUUUGACUUAUUGGAGUAUGAUUUGAGUAUUGGAGUACGAUUUGAGGUUUAGAAGUGAAAAAUUUUAAUUUCGGCAUAAUUUGGAGUAUAGGGGUAAAAUGGUAAUUUUGCCACUUAAGGGGCAAAAUUGUAAUUUUCCACCACCAGGACAAUUUUCCAGCACAUGGUCUUCCUUUAUCCUCAUUUUUGACCUUUGACUAAUCAUGUGGUGGAGAUUAAAUGUAUAAAUUUUUAAAAUUUUAAAAAUGGAUCAAUGAGAAAAUGCCAUGUGUCAAGCUUAGGAUAUUUUAUUAUUUAACUUAAAAAUCAGCAUAAAUCAGCCCAUUACUCUCCAAAUAUUCGGCCAAGCAAGGAAUAGAGGGAAAGAAAGGAAGAACAAAACCCAGGUGAGGAAUUUCAAGAGAAAAAGUGUGGAAAAUCAAGGAAAACAAGUAAAAAAGGUAGGAUUUUUCAACUUAAGCUUGAAAUCUAUUUUCCUUAAGCAUUUCCCCUUAUUUUCCACGCUUAAAUUACAUAUUUUUAUGAUGAAUUGUUGGCUGAUCAAAAUGGGUUAGGAGAGAGAAAGUUGUUGGAUUUAUUUGAUUUUAAGUUAUGUUAGUGUUUUUAGUUAGUUUAGCAUAUUUAGAAACAAAACAACAAGAAAAGAAUUUAUUUUCUCCCCCAACCAUUAAUGGCUGAAUUUACCAUGUAGUGAGUGAGGAUGAGUUUGAUUUUAUUCUAGGAGAAUUGGUUAAGGAAUAAUGAAUUAUGAGCCUAGAAAAAUAAUGGGAAUUUUCGGAGCAAAAAUACGAAUUUUUACCCACUAGGGGUAUUUUCGUAAUUUGCUGUUGGGACUGAUAAUUUGCACCACACUGAGGGACAUUAAGUUAAUUUGGGUGCAAUUGAGGUAUAGAAACUGAAAAGAAUUAAAUUGGAGUUUAAACGGACCCGUUAGGAAUUUAAUCGGGUGAUAAGACGAAUUAGGCCAAUACCGGGUUUAGAUAGUUACCAGUGCAUUUUUGCAUUCCAUAUCAUGCAUUGGUAGUCUAAAUUAGUUUAAUUUUGAUUUAGUACCAACUUGGUGAAACUCUCGAUUUUGUAUUGUGUCAAGGUGGUGAGUCCUCCGAUAAAGGCAAGGAAAUUGCAUCCGAGGACCAGUAGACAGAGUGCUUCGAAAGUCUGCAUUCUAGACAUUGUGAGUAAACUUACUGUCAUUUUAAUUAUCUAGGGUGGUUUUUAGAUGCUUUCAUGAAUUCUAUGGAAAAAGGAAUUUAAAAAGAUAAAUUUUCAUGUUUUAUGAAUAAAUGAGUUUCAAUGAAAUUAAAUUAUAAAUUGUUUUGAAAUUAAUAGUGAUUUUGAAAAAUAGAGUACACGGAGACUGUUAAUUGUGGCAAUUUGAUUGUUUAAAUUGAUUGGCUUAUGAUAAAUCGAGCAUGAUUGGCUAGUUGGCAAUUGUAUUGAAAUGCGAAUUGUUUGGUUACCUUGAAAAACUACGAAUUACAAAAUUGCCAUAUCAUGUUAUUGAGUUUUAUUAUAUGGUGGAUUAUAUAUUAAUUAAUCACUGCAGUAGGGGGUUUCUGUGGACCAGCCUUUUAGAGGGGCACGGUAAACCCCAUUAUAUUCUUACCUCGAACGGAGAGGCGCGUAGGGUAUCUCCUGGGGUAAAGUUUAGGGUUCACUUCACGCUAAACCACCACGUGAGGGGGAACUCAGCCAACGCCAAGGAACGGCUAUGUUUUCAAAACAAAAACAUGAUUUAUGUGAAAUGUGAAUUUUAAUAGCCUUGGCGGUCUCGGUAGGAUGCCUCGGCCAAGGUGUCCCCGAGAAUGGAUUUAUGGCACAAGCCUAGAUUUUUAUGAGAUUCAUAAGCCUCUUUACGUGUUUUGAACAAAAUGUGUUCUAAUGCUAUAACCCAGUUUAUGAUGAUUUACUUUAUUGUCUCCAUGUACUCAACUCUAGAUGUUUAUGAUGAUGUUUGUUUACUCAUUGGGAUUUUAUAAUCUCACCACCCUCCUUUCCACCCAUUUCAGGUUCAGUAUAGACUGUAGAUAGCUGAUCUCAUCGAGGACUACAGUGGGAUCUGCAUUUUCCAAACCGUAGGUUCACAGUCCUCUUUACUUUUGUUUAUUCGGGGGCACUCUUGUUAUUGUAAAUUAAAUUAAAUAUUUUGGCUUACUGUAUUUAAGUAUGUAUAAAUUUAUUUAGCUUUUACGUUAUAAAAAUUAUUCACGUAUAACUCUAUAAAUAUUGUUUUAUAAGAAAAUAGAAUAUUUUACUUAAUAUUUCUUUUAUUUUCUUAUUAUAUUCAAAUAACCAUAAUUUCGUUUUAAAUGAAGAUUUUAGACUUUUAAACUCAUUUUGAAUAUGAAUUAUGUGUUUUGUACUUGUAUAUUAUGUUUUAGCUAGUUUCAAAAUUUUUAAGAAAAAAAUGACCAAAAUACCCUUGUGAGACGAAAAUUAAUAUUUUAUUUGUUUUUAGUUGAAAACAGUUUAAAAUCUUUUAGAACACGAUAUUUGAUAAUGGUUGCUCACAAGGGAAAUGAGAAACUGAUAAUAAAGCCUUGCGAGGUUUUAGGUUGACAUUCCGAGCAAUGAGUGUCUACCGAGACACCGCGACGGUUGUCAUGGGCUCGAGGGGAGUACCGGGUCGUGACAAUUCGAUUGGUAUAAGAGCUUUUAGUUUUGAAGAUAAGAGUUUUUCGUUUUAAAGUUGUUUUAAAAAUUUACAACAUCAGUGUGGCCUUGGAUUAAGUUAAGUUAGGUUGAAUAGAAUGCAUGCAUCUGCAUAUAGAGCCUAAGGUUACCUAAACUUACUCGUAUUCUUUUAAAGAUUAUAAUGCCUCCUCGACAUGGACGCCCACCACUCACUAGAUCGGUUGGGAGGGGAAGAGGUCGUUUCCAACGUCAUCAGCCAGAUACAAUAGAGGAGGAAUCAGCUACAUCCACCAUUCGGGCAGCACCUGCUGCUGAGCAGGUCGAGACUCUUCCACAUCCUCCACCUCCUCCGCCACAUACUAGCAUUCCCACCAUGCCUACUGAGGCAGCACAGGCAUUGGCAGCUUUCUUUACCGCAAUGGCUAGUCAAGCUCAGACUAGUCAAGUUUCACCUAUAGUGCCUCCAGCUACUCCUUUAGUUCCACCACCAGUACAGGAUGUAUCCAUUUUCAAGAAGCUAAAGGAGGCUAGACAGUUCGGUUGUGUGUCUUUCGCGGGUGAGUUGGAUGCCAUUGUGGCAAAGGACUAGAUUAAUCAGGUUUCAGAGACUCUCUUUGAUAUGGGAUUAGAUGACGACAUGAAGUUGAUGGUGGCUACAAGAUUAUUAGAGAAGAGGGCUCGUACUUGGUGAAAUUCGGUGAAGUCUCGUUCCACUACUCCUCAGACAUGGUCCGAUUUUCUCAGGGAAUUCGAUGGUCAGUAUUUCACUUACUUUCAUCAGAAAGAAAAGAAAAGAGAAUUUCUGAGCUUGAAGCAAGGAAAUCUAACUGUAGAGGAGUACGAGACUCGUUUUAACGAGUUAAUGUUAUAUGUGCCGAAUCUGGUGAAAUCUGAGCAAGAUCAAGCUAGUUAUUUCGAGGAAGGGCUCCGUAAUGAGAUUAGAGAGCAGAUGACAGUGACUGGUAGAGAGCCACAUAAGUAGGUGGUACAGAUGGCUUUACGGGUUGAGAAGCUCGCGGUUGAGAAUAAGAGGAUUCUGACCGAGUUUGCAAAAAGGAGGAAUCCUAGUAUGUCUUCUAGUCAGCCAGCAAAGAGAGGCAAGGACUUGGCGACUUCAAGGAGCACUACUUCUAUUUUCGUGACAUCUCAUCGACCUCCAUUUCCACCAUCACAGCAGAGACCUUCGAGGUUUAGCAGAUUUGCUAUGACUGGUUCUGGGAAGAGUUUUGGAGGUUCUGACAGAUGCAGAAAUUGUGGAAAUUAUCAUGUUGGGCUGUGUAGGGGUCUUGUAUUAUGUUUUCAUUGUGGUUAGCCUAGUCAUAUUAGGAGUAAUUGCCCACGGUUAGGACGAGCCACUGUAGUUGCAUCAUCUUCACCAGCUCGCACUGAUAUGCAGAGGAGAGAUUCUUCUGGGUUGUCACUGAGACAAGGAGUAGCCAUACGGUUCGGUGUGGAGAGUAAUACCCCAGCACAUCCACCUUCGAGACCACAGACUCGUACCUCGACAAGAGUUUUCGUUGUGACAAAAGAUGAGGCACGGGUCCGACCUGGAGCAGUGACAGGUAUUAUGUCUUUAUUUGAUAAAGAUGCUUAUGUUUUGAUAGAUUCUGGCUCAGAUAGAUCUUAUGUGAGUACGACAUUUGCAUCAAUUGCUGAUAGAAACUUGUCACCAUUAGAGGGAGAAAUUGUAGUGCAUACCCCUUUAGGAGAACAGUUGAUUAGAAAUACUUGUUAUAGAGAUUGUGGGGUAAGGGUAGGUGAGGAAGAAUUUAGGGGUGACUUAAUUCCUCUAGAGAUCUUGGAUUUUGAUUUAAUAUUGGGUAUGGACUGGUUAACUGCACAUCGGGCGAAUGUGGAUUGUUUCCGAAAAGAAGUUAUUCUUCAAAAUUUAGAGGGAGUAGAGAUUGUAUUUGUAGGGGAACGUCGAGUAUUACCGUCUUGUGUAAUCUCGACCAUCAAAGCUUCGAAAUUAGUGCAAAAAGGGUAUCUGGCUUAUUUGGCAUACGUGAUUGAUACUUCAAAGGGGGAACCUAAGAUAGAGGAUGUCCCAAUAGUAAGUGAGUUUCUUGAUGUAUUUCCUGAUGAUUUACUGGGACUACUUCCUGAUUGAGAGCUUGAGUUCCCUAUUGACUUACUUCCAGGUACCACACCUAUUUCUAUUCCUCCAUAUAGAAUGGCUUCGGCAGAGUUGAAAGAAUUGAAAGUCCAGUUGCAAGAUUUGGUGGAUAAAGGUUUCAUUCGCCCUAGCAUUUCUCCUUGGGGAGCACCAGUCCUAUUUGUAAAGAAGAAGGAUGGCACUCUUCGAUUGUGUAUCGAUUAUCGUCAGCUGAAUCGAGUGACCAUCAAGAAUAAAUACCCUUUACCCCGGAUAGAUGAUCUUUUUGAUCAAUUACGAGGUGUUAUGGUAUUCUCUAAGAUUGAUUUGAGAUCUGGAUACUAUCAGUUGAGGAUUAAGGAGCAGGAUAUACCCAAAACUGCCUUCAGGACUCGUUAUGGGCAUUAUGAGUUUCUAGUGAUGCCGUUUGGUUUGACUAAUGCCCCGACAGUUAUUAUGGAUCUUAUGAAUAGGGUGUUCCAUCCAUUCUUGGAUAAGUUUGUGAUAGUAUUCAUAGAUGACAUCCUGGUUUAUUCAAAGAAUGAUGAUGAACAUGCUGUCCAUUUGCGUAUUGUGUUGCAAACUUUGCGCGAGAGGCAACUCUAUGCCAAGUUCUCUAAAUGUGAAUUCUGGUUGAAGGAAGUGGUUUUCUUGGGACAUGUGGUGUCCGGAGCUAGAAUUUAUGUUGAUCCCAAGAAGAUCGAGGUAAUCUUGCAAUGGGAGCAACCGAGAACGGUAACUGAGAUUCGUAGUUUCUUUGGCUUAGACGGUUAUUAUCAGAUAUUUGUUUAGGGAUUUUCUUUGAUAGCAGCUCCUCUGACUCAUUUGACUCGUAAAGGAGUUAAGUAUGAGUGGGAUGAUGUUUGUGAGAAUCGAUUUCAGGAGCUAAAGAACCGGUUAACCUCCGCUCCUGUCUUAACACUUCCUGUGAAUGAAAAAGAAUUUGUGGUAUACAGUGAUGCAUCUAAGUUGGGAUUAGGGUGCGUAUUGAUGCAUGAUGAAAAAGUAAUAGCUUAUGCUUCCUGGCAGUUGAAGAAGCAUGAGACGAAUUACCCUACUCAUGACUUGGAGUUAGAAGCAGUAGUCUUCGCAUUGAAGAUUUAGAGAUAUUAUUUAUAUGGUGAGCGUUGUCGGAUUUUUACUAAUCAUAAAAGCUUGAAAUAUUUGCUUACCCAGAAAGAGCUUAAUUUGAGACAGAGACGAUAGUUGGAGUUGAUUAAGGAUUACGACUUAGUGAUUGAUUAUCAUCUGGGAAAGGCAAAUGUUGUAGCAGAUGCUUUAAGUCGUAAAUCCUUAUCUUCAUUAACAGUACUUCAGAGUUCUUAUUUUUCGAUAUUACUUGAGAUAAAAUCUCUAGGGAUCCAGUUGAAUAAUGGUGAGGAUGGAACCCUACUUGUUAGUUUCGUCGUGAGACCUUCAUUGUUGAAUCAGAUCAGAGAAUUACAGAAAUCUGAUGAUUGGUUGAAACGGGAAGUUCAAAAGUUGCAAGAUGGAGAAACUAGUGAAUUUAGACUCAGCGAUGAUGGUACUUUGAUGCUUAGAGACCGAAUUUGUGUCCCUAAGGAUGAUCAGUUGAGACGAGCUAUUUUGGAGGAAGCUCAUUCUUCUGCCUAUGCUUUACAUCCCGAAAGCACCAAGAUGUAUUGGACUAUUAAAGAAAGUUAUUAGUGGUCGGGUAUGAAACGAGACAUAGCAGAGUUUGUAGCGAAAUGUCUCACAUGCCAACAGAUCAAGGCGGAGCAUAAAAAAUCGUCAGGUACUCUUCAACCUUUACCGAUUCCUGAAUGGAAGUGGGAACACAUGACUAUGGACUUUGUAUUAGGUUUGCCGCGGACACAAAGUGGGAAAGAUGCUAUUUGGGUGAUUGUGGAUAGAUUGACUAAGUCUGCCCAUUUCUUGGCUAUCCAUAGCACAUAUUCUAUUGAGAGGCUGACAAGACUUUAUAUAGAUGAGGUUGUGAGAUUGCAUGGAGUUCCAGUUUCUAUUGUGUCAGAUUAAGACCCUCGGUUUACUUCUCAAUUUUGGCCAAAAUUUCAGGAAGCUCUUGAAACUAAAUUGAGAUUUAGUACUACCUUUCAUCCGCAGACAGAUGGUUAAUUUGAGAGAACUAUUCAGACCUUGGAGGAUAUGUUACAGGCUUGUGUCAUUAACUUUAUUGGGAGUUGGGACAGACACUUGCCAUUGGUGGAGUUCGCGUAUAAUAACAGUUUUCAGUCUAGUAUUGGGAUGGAACCAUACGAGACUUUGUAUGGAAGGAAGUGCCAAACUCUGCUAUGUUGGGAUGAAGUAGGUGAGAGAAAAUUGGUGAAUGUGGAAUUGAUUGAUCUGACAAAUGAUAAGGUCAAGGUUAUCUGAGAGCGGUUAAAGAUAGCUCAAGAUAGGUAGAAGAAUUAUUCGGAUAAAUGAAGGAAAGAUUUGGAGUUUGAAGUCGACGAUAAAGUUUUUCUUAAGGUUUCUCCUUGGAAAGGUAAUAAUUUGAAAAUUUCAAGUAUUAAAUCUUAUUUGAUUAUGCUAUUGUGAUAAUUUGUGGUAUUUAUUGGAUAAUGAAAGGUGUGAUUCGAUUCGCGAAUAGGGGAAAGCUCAAUCCAAGAUACAUUGGACCCUUUCGUAUCAUUGAAAGGAUUGGGCCAGUGGCUUAUAGACUUGAAUUACCCCCAGAGUUAGAUNNNNNNNNNNNNNNNNNNNNNNNNNNNNNNNNNNNNNNNNNNNNNNNNNNNNNNNNNNNNNNNNNNNNNNNNNNNNNNNNNNNNNNNNNNNNNNNNNNNNNNNNNNNNNNNNNNNNNNNNNNNNNNNNNNNNNNNNNNNNNNNNNNNNNNNNNNNNNNNNNNNNNNNNNNNNNNNNNNNNNNNNNNNNNNNNNNNNNNNNNNNNNNNNNNNNNNNNNNNNNNNNNNNNNNNNNNNNNNNNNNNNNNNNNNNNNNNNNNNNNNNNNNNNNNNNNNNNNNNNNNNNNNNNNNNNNNNNNNNNNNNNNNNNNNNNNNNNNNNNNNNNNNNNNNNNNNNNNNNNNNNNNNNNNNNNNNNNNNNNNNNNNNNNNNNNNNNNNNNNNNNNNNNNNNNNNNNNNNNNNNNNNNNNNNNNNNNNNNNNNNNNNNNNNNNNNNNNNNNNNNNNNNNNNNNNNNNNNNNNNNNNNNNNNNNNNNNNNNNNNNNNNNNNNNNNNNNNNNNNNNNNNNNNNNNNNNNNNNNNNNNNNNNNNNNNNNNNNNNNNNNNNNNNNNNNNNNNNNNNNNNNNNNNNNNNNNNNNNNNNNNNNNNNNNNNNNNNNNNNNNNNNNNNNNNNNNNNNNNNNNNNNNNNNNNNNNNNNNNNNNNNNNNNNNNNNNNNNNNNNNNNNNNNNNNNNNNNNNNNNNNNNNNNNNNNNNNNNNNNNNNNNNNNNNNNNNNNNNNNNNNNNNNNNNNNNNNNNNNNNNNNNNNNNNNNNNNNNNNNNNNNNNNNNNNNNNNNNNNNNNNNNNNNNNNNNNNNNNNNNNNNNNNNNNNNNNNNNNNNNNNNNNNNNNNNNNNNNNNNNNNNNNNNNNNNNNNNNNNNNNNNNNNNNNNNNNNNNNNNNNNNNNNNNNNNNNNNNNNNNNNNNNNNNNNNNNNNNNNNNNNNNNNNNNNNNNNNNNNNNNNNNNNNNNNNNNNNNNNNNNNNNNNNNNNNNNNNNNNNNNNNNNNNNNNNNNNNNNNNNNNNNNNNNNNNNNNNNNNNNNNNNNNNNNNNNNNNNNNNNNNNNNNNNNNNNNNNNNNNNNNNNNNNNNNNNNNNNNNNNNNNNNNNNNNNNNNNNNNNNNNNNNNNNNNNNNNNNNNNNNNNNNNNNNNNNNNNNNNNNNNNNNNNNNNNNNNNNNNNNNNNNNNNNNNNNNNNNNNNNNNNNNNNNNNNNNNNNNNNNNNNNNNNNNNNNNNNNNNNNNNNNNNNNNNNNNNNNNNNNNNNNNNNNNNNNNNNNNNNNNNNNNNNNNNNNNNNNNNNNNNNNNNNNNNNNNNNNNNNNNNNNNNNNNNNNNNNNNNNNNNNNNNNNNNNNNNNNNNNNNNNNNNNNNNNNNNNNNNNNNNNNNNNNNNNNNNNNNNNNNNNNNNNNNNNNNNNNNNNNNNNNNNNNNNNNNNNNNNNNNNNNNNNNNNNNNNNNNNNNNNNNNNNNNNNNNNNNNNNNNNNNNNNNNNNNNNNNNNNNNNNNNNNNNNNNNNNNNNNNNNNNNNNNNNNNNNNNNNNNNNNNNNNNNNNNNNNNNNNNNNGAAUUAGGCCAAUACCGAGUUUAGAUAGUUACCAGUGAAUUUUUGCAUUCCAUAUUAUGCAUUAAUAGUCUAAAUUAGUUUAAUUUCAAUUUAGUACCAGUGUAGUGAGUUUCUCAAUUUUGUACUGUGUCAAGGUGGUGAGUCUUCCGAUAAAGGUAAGGAAAUUGCAUCCGAGGACCAGUAGACAGAGUGCUUUGAAAGUCUGCAUUCUAGACAUUAUGAGUAAACUUACUAUCAUUUUAAUUAUCUAGGGUGGUUUUUAGAUGAUUUCAUGAAUUCUAUGGAAAAAGGAAUUUAAAAAGGUAAAUUUUCAUGUUUUAUGAAUAAAUGUGUUUCAAUGAAAUUAAAUUAUAAAUUUUUUUGAAAUUAAUAAUGAUUUUGAAAAAUAGAGUACGCGGAGAUUGUUAAUUGUGGAAAUUCGAUUGUUUAAAUUGAUUGGCUUAUGAUAAAUCGGGCAUGAUUGGCUAGUUGGCAAUUGUAUUGAAAUACGAAUUGUUUGGUUGUCUUGAAAGACUGCGAAUUUCAAAAUUUUCAUAUCAUGUUAUUGAGUUUUAUUGUAUGGUGGAUUAUAUAUUAAUUAAUCACUGCAGUAGGGGGUUUCUGUGGACCAACCUUUUAGAGGGGCACGGUAAACCCCAUUAUAUUCUUACCUCGAACGGAGAGGCGCGUAGGGUAUCUCCUGGGGUAAAGCUUAGGGUUCACUUCAUGCCAAACCACCACAUGAGGGGGAACUCAGCCAAUGCCAAGGAACGACUAUGUUUUCAAAACAAAAACAUGAUUUAUGUGAAAUGUGAAUUUUAAUAGCCUUGGCGGUCUUGGUAGGAUUCCUCGGCCAAGGUGUCCCUGAGAAUGGAUUUAUGGCACAAGCCUAAUUUUUAUGAAAUUCAUAAGCCUCUUUACGUAUUUUAAAUGAAAUGUAUUCUAAUGUUGCGACCCAAUUUACGAUGAUUUACUUUAUUGUCUCCAUGUACUCAACUCUAGAUAUUUAUGAUGAUGUCUGUUUACUCAUUGAGAUUUUAUAAUCUGACCACCCUCCUUUCCACCUAUUUCAGGUUCAGUAUAGACUGUAGAUAGCUGAUCUCAUCGAGGACUACCGUUGGAUCUGCAUUUUCCAAACCGUAGGUUCACAGUCUUCUUUACUUUUGUUUAUUCGGGGGCCCUCUUGUUAUUGUAAAUUAAAUUAAAUAUUUUGGCUUACUGUAUUACAGUAUGUAUAAAUUUAUUUAGCUUUUAUGCUAUAAAAAUUAUUCACGUAUAACUCUAUAAAUAUUGUUUUAUAAGAAAAUAGAAUAUUUUACUUAAUAUUUCUUUUAUUUUCUUAUUAUAUUCAAAUAAUCGUAAUUUCGUUUUAAAUGAAGAUUUUAGACUUUUAAACUCAUUUUGAAUAUGAAUUAUGUGUUUUGUACUUGUAUAUUACGUUUUAGCCAGUUUCAAACUUUUUGAGAAAAAAAUGACCAAAAUACCUCUGUCAGAUGAAAAUUAAUAUUUUAUUUGUUUUUAGUUGGAAACAGUUUUAAAUCUUUUGGAACACGAUAUUUGAUAAUGGUUGCUCACAAGGGAAAUGAGAAACUGAUAGUAAAGCCUUGCGAGGUUUCGGGUUGACAUUCCGGGCAAUGAGUGUCUAUCGAGACACCGCGGCAGUUGUCACGGGCUCGAGGGGAGUACCGGGUCGUGACAUACAUACAUAUUUAAUACACUUGCCUCAUAGGUGAUCAAUGUGAGCUUUAAUCCUCAAAGCUCAAUAAGCUUUUAUUGCAUCAUAGAUCACAAUCAUAUAUUCAUGGCUCUUACCUCAAGUCUUUACAUUAAUCAUCAUUUCAUAAACAUCACAUAACAUAAUUCACAUUUUAAAUUCCAAGCCAUGCCAUUACACAGUCAUCACAUCAUAUCAUAGAGUGGUCCUCCCUAGACAUUGCAUAGUCACGUAUGGUGGCCAACCGAUGGACAACAUACAAUAUCAAGUCACGCCCCAUUGCUAUAGCAAACGACAUAGUCAUGUCACGGCCCAUUGCCAAAGCAAACGAUGGAGUCUUGUCGAGCCCCAUUGCCAUAGCAAACGACGAAGUUUAUAAUUAUUAACCAAAAUAAUCUUGACAAAUGGCAUCAUAACACUACAAGCGAGAAUAACAAGUGGGACAAAACCACCAUCCCUACUUAUCAACAUCUUUGUAGGCAUCAUAAAUCACCAUCGCACAACAAGCAAGAAACACAGGUGGGACAAAACCACUAUCCCUAUUUACCACCAUCCAUAUUGGCGAAACAUACAUAGUCACAGGGGUAUGGACACACUCAGCCACAUAAUAUAACUCGUCCAGAAUCAUCCAUGGACAACACAUAUACAUCUUACAUCAUAUCGUUGUUCAGAAUCAUCCACAAACGGAACAUACAAAUCUCACAUCAUAUCAUCGCUCAUCAUGCUAAUCAUUAUGACAUAUUCAAUCAUUCGUAAGCAUGUCUUACUUCUCAUCUCAAGCACAUAAUCAUGGACAUAUCAAUGAUUUAGCCUAGGACAAUCCUUCUAAGCAAUUCACAUAAUUCUCGUAGCAUUUCUAGACGUAUUUGUAAUGUACACAUCCAUAUUAACAUCAUUAGCCUAGGCAUACUAUCUCUAGGCAUAUCACAUCAUUCAUAAUUAUUUUCUAGUCUAGGAAUUCUACCACUAGACAUACUUAUGGCUUACAUAACAUACAUCAUGCUUUUUAAUUAUAGAAGCAUACAUGCACUUUAGUUAUUAUGCUUCUAUGCAUAAAGUUUCCCCACUCACAUUGACAAAUGGGAGGUAUUCAACAGCCAAGCUUUGAUUGUUAGCCUCCAACAAUUUUUUAGCUCAUAAACGUGUCUAAAUGACUCAAUUUUUCCAUAAGCACAUCAAAAUAUUAAAAAACUAGUUAAAUCCUAAAUUUAGAAAACUGCCAAUAUUUCUAAAAAUAAUCAAAUCUUUAAUAGUCCAAUACAUAAGCUCAAAUCCUUUAACCAUGAGCUUGCCAGGUAAGCUCCGGGGGUUUGUGAUCAGCAUGCACGAGCUUGGCAAGGAAGCCAGCGAGAUAAGAGGAAGCCUUCGUUCAUAAACUUGAUUAACAUAAAUCAUAUACAUGAGGCCUCUUGGCCAACAUCAUAUCCAUUAACAUUUAAAAUAUUGAACUUACAUAGUUCACAAUUUAGCCCCACGGCUCAUGUUCUUACAUUGGACUUAAACAUAAAAAUCCACAUGGCCAUAUGUUGGAUAAUCAUCAUUUUAAUUUUUGAUCAUUCCACUACAUGAAAAUCAUAUAGGGUAGUGCAGUACCCAUGUAAUCUAUUUAAGACAACCAUUUUUACAUUGUGAAAGCGUAAGAUUCGUCUAUAACUCAACAAAGAUACAACGCUAGUGGAUAACAUACCAUUUGCUAAAAAUUAUGUGUUUGACAUCGACAACGCUAAGCCACUCGAUCCUCGAUGUCUAUUUAUUUUCAUAAUACAAUCAAAAGGGGGUGAGUCACACUAGUACUUAGUGAGCGGGAGCAUAUAUCAUUGUAAAUAUGCAGGGAUAGUUGCUACAUGUAUCCUCUAAACAUGUAUACAUAGUAGUAAACUCAACAUAUUCAUAUCAAGACAAGUUGGACAUCACUCAUCAAAAACACAUUAUCAUCAUCUUGCCAACCGUACUACACUACUUAUAAGCCUGACCUUAUAAAAUACUCAUCAUGACAUACAUGUGAUGAUAGUAUGAUUGCAUGCUAGGAGAGUCCCGAAAAAUUUACAAAAGUCGGUAUUGUACCUAGAGGUACAACAAAGUUGAUUUAAUCCUUGAACUUGAUCAAAUAAGAAUUUUAAGGUGAUAUUAAGAGCUUCACAGUCCAUGGAUCACUCAAAAUGGUAAUUCGGGGUUUGAGGAUCAAUUUGGAGUCAAAUCGGAAUUUUCACUAUCUAGGGGCAAAAUGGUCAUUUGCCACUUGGGGACAAAGUGAAAAUUUUAGAAAAGAUUUUUUUUUUGCCCCAUUUGACUUAUUCGAUUAUGAUUUGAGUAUUGGAGUAUGAUUUGAGAUUUAUAAGUGGAAAAUUUUAAUUUCGGUAUAAUUUGAAGUAUAGAGGUAAAAUGGUAAUUUUGCCACCCCAAGGGAAAAAUUAUAAUUUUCCACCACAAGGACAUUUGUCCAGCACAUGCUCUUCCUUUAUCCUCAUUUUUGACCUUUGACUAAUCAUGUGGUGGAGAUAAAAAGUUUAAAUUUUUAAAGUUUUAAAAAUGGACCAAUAAGAAAAUGCCAUGUGUCAAGCUUGGGAUAUUUUAUUAUUUAACUUAAAAAUCAGCGUAAAUCAGCCUAUUACUCUCCAAAUAUUCGGCCAAGCAAGGAAGAGAGGGAAAGAAAGGAAGAACAAACCCUAGGUGAGGAAUUUCAAGAGAAAAAGUGUGAAAAAUCAAGGAAAACAAGUGAAAAAGGUAGGAUUUUUCAACUUAAGCUUGAAAUAUAUUUUCCUUAAGCAUUUCUCCUUAUUUUCCAUGCUUAAAUUACAUGUUUUUAUGAUGAAUUGUUGGCUGAUCAAAAUAGGUAUGGAGAGAGAAUGAAGUUAGAUUAAUUUGAUUUUAAGUUAUGUUAGUGUUUUUAGUUAGUUUAGCAUAUUUAGAAACAAAACAACAAGAAAAGAAUUCAUUUUCCUCCAUUACCAUUAUUGGCUGAAUUUUGUAGGGGAAUAUUGGCUGCUGAUCUUGAUGUUUAUUUGAGGAAUUAUGAUGAAUAAUGAUGAAUUAUGAGCCUAGAAAAAUAAUGGGAAUUUUCGGAGCAAAAAUAUGAAUUUUUAAGCCAUUAGGGGUAUUUUCGUAAUUUACUAUCGAGAUUGAUAAUUUGCACCACACUGAGGGAUAUUAAGUCAAUUUGGGUACAAUUGAGGUAUAGAAAUUGAAAAAAAUGAAUUUGGAGUUUAAACGGACGCGUAUAUCGAUUUAUCGAGUAAAAUACCGAAAUAGGCUAACACCGCGUUUAGGCAAAAUUUAGACAUUUUUUGCAUUCCAUAUCAUGCAUUAGUAGUCUAAAUUAGUUUAAUUUCAAUUUAGUACCAACGUAGUGAGUUUCUCAAUUUUGUACUGUGUUAAGGUGGCGAGUCCUCCGAUGAAGGCAAGGGAAUUGCAUCCGAGGACCAAUAGUCUAAGUAUUUCGAGAAUCGACACUCUAGACAUUGUGAGUAAACUUACUGUCAUUUUAAUUAUCUAGGGUGAUUUUUAGAUGAUUUCAUUAAUUCUAUGGAAAAAUGGACUUAAAAAGGUAAAUUUUUAUGUUUUAUGAAUAAAGGUGUUCCAAUGAAAUUAAUUUAUAAAUUGUUUUGAAAUUAAUAGUGAUUUUGAAAAAUAGAGUACAUGGAGACUGUUAAUCGUGACAAUUUGAUUGUUUAAAUUGAUUGGCUAGUUGGCAAUUGUAUUGAAAUACGAAUUGUUUGGUUGCCUUGAAAGACUGUAAAUUACAAAAUUGUCAUAUCAUGUUAUUGAGUUUUAUUGUAUGGUGGAUUAUAUAUUAAUUAAUCAUUGCAGUAGGGGGUUCUGUGGAUCAGCCUUUUAGAGGGGCACGGUAAACCCUAUUAUAUUCUUACCUCGAACGGAGAGGCACGUAAGGUAUCUCCUGAGGUAAAGCUUAGGGUUCACUUCAUGCCAAACCACCACAUGAGGGGGAACUCAGCUAACGCCAAGGAACGACUAUGUUUUCAAAACAAAAACAUGAUUUAUGUGAAAUGUGAAUUUUAAUAGCCUUGGUGGUCUCGGUAGGAUGCCUCGGCCAAGGUGUCCUCGAGAAUGGAUUUAUGGCACAAGCUUAGUUUUUAUGAAAUUCAUAAGCCUCUUCACGUAUUUUAAAUGAAAUGUAUUCUAAUGUUGUGACCCAGUUUACGAUGAUUUACUUUAUUGUCUCCAUGUACUCAACUUUAGAUGUUUAUGAUGAUGUUUGUUUACUCAUUGGGAUUUAUAAUCUCAUCACCCUUAUUUCCACCCAUUUGAGGUUCAGUAUAGACUGUAGAUAGCUGAUCUCAUCGAGGACUACCGUUGGAUCUGCAUUUU
rnacentral:lncRNA from 1 species